UUUUCUCUUUUUGGUUCUACUGUUUUUCUGCGAUGUGGUGAAAAUCUUGCCUUGCUUCGUCUGGAUUUGGGUGGUGGUUAUGGGUUGUCUUUGGCCGGAGUUGGAGGACGAAGUUGGCUUCCUGCAAACCAUCUUCGCCUGCGACUUUCUUCUUCCUCCCCGGAUCGUUUCAGGCUCGCUGGGUGGGUCUCUCCGACCUUGAUGUGGAGUUGAAUGUUCUCCGAUUGGUUUUUGUGGUUCUCCGAUCUGUGAUUUUCGUCUCUGUUCUUGUCUGAUUGGGAUUCGAUUUUGGUUUGUCGAGUUUUCCGGCUGCGUCCUUUGGAUCUGCGGCAACGGCCUUCGUCGACAUCUAUCUCACAGGUCGUCCCUCAAUUUACCUUCGGUUAAUUGCUUUGUUGUUGGAGUAUAUUUGGUUGAGAGUAGAAGCCUUAGUUUCAAGUUUAGGGCUGGCAAUAUUGACUUCUAGUUCUGCCUCCUGUUACUUUCUGCCCGGUUAUUGGUGUUUUGAGUUUGUGAAGGUUUCGUUUUGUGGGUUCUUCAUUCGGAUGGUAGUCUCCUGCAAAGGCAUCUACUAGCUCUCUUCCUAAUCUUUUUUAGAUUUAAGAUUUGAGUUCAAGACGAUGUGGUAGGCUCGGUCUUCAUUCCUUCUCUUGCGUGGCGUAACCAGUUCUUAGGCUGUAGAUGGUUUUGGCUGGGUCUACGAAUGUCCGCGUGUAAGGUUUGUUGGUCCUCUUUGGCGUUUUCCCCUUCGGAUCUCAAGGCUUCUCCUUGUCCUUUCACCUGCUUGUAUUCUCUGGUUUUUGGUGUGGUAGUGAUGGUUAGGAUCUGUGCUCUGAUCUUCUUAUUUGUCUGUGUUCGUUUCUGCUGGGUUUGUGGUUGUGUGAGCUUGGUUUAGUAUCCUUCUCGGGCCUUUCAUAUAAAGGCAAUCUAAUGAUGGGUCCUCUUGUUGCUCUUGUUGGUAACCACUUUCCAGCGCCCAAAAUAUUCUAUGGAAAUGUUCGUCGGAUGCUUUUAGUGAAGAGUUUGCAGUUGUGUUGCUUGAGUCUUAGGUAUUAGUCAUUCCCUGUACUUUAAGGUUUUUCUUCUUUAAUGUCUGCCUUUUUUGGCCUUUGUCUCUGGGGGUUUCUAUGUACCCGCCGGCUUUGUUUUCCGGAAGGAUUUAUUUCCUUGCCGCUAUGUAUUAUUUCCAAGUAUCUUAUCAAUGAAUUAUUCAGACGAAAAAAAAAAAAAAAAGAUUACCCCAUCGCGUCGAAUUCGAGACGUGACUAACAAAAACUUGUUAUGAAGAUAGUGGACUAAAGAAAAUACUUUCUUUCUUCAAAUGAAAUGAAACUUAUUAUUAUGGGUUAAGAAAAUAGUCUUUAAGAAACACAGAGAAACAUAAGUUCAAAACGUCCCGAGUUCGACGCAAUGGAGUACCUCUUGAAGACGUCGUUUCGAUUUAACAGAGACUUUUAAGGGAAAGUUAACCCCGUUAACGGAAACUUAACGACAUACCUAAAAUGGCUAAGUCAACGAAACUUGACUAUUUUAUCAAAAAGUCAAACUAAACUUUGUGAUUUAAAUGACAUUUUGAAAGUUCAUGUGUUUUUCGUCCCAAAUUUGAAAGUUGGCGUUUUUUUUUACAUUUUCCCCACUGAUUAUAUAUGAGGCCAAUGAUUUACAAAAAAAUAUUUCUCCCAUGUUAUAUAUUCAUGAGUGGAGAUAAAAUAUUUCUCAUUUGUAAUUACAUGGUUGUGUGAUAUAUGUUAUUAAUGCUUCGCCGUACUGCAUAAAAAUAAUAUCCGAAAAAGAUGAAAUAUAUAAAUGCUAGAGAUUAGGGCUGGACAUAAAACCCGAAAACCGAAAACCGAACCAAAAAAUCUGAUUCCAAAACCGAACCGAAUAAUCACAAAACCUGAACAGAUAAUGAAUUCUCCAUUCCGAAUUACCUGAACCUCGAACCCGAUUCGAACCGAAAACCGAAAAGAUAUCCAAAAACUCAAAAUAAAAUUAUAUAUCCAAAAAUAUUAGUUCUAUUUAGUUAGAAUUUUAUACCCAAAAAUACCAAAUAACCAAAAUAACCAAAAUAACCUUAGAUAUUCAAAAAAAUAUUUAUUUAUAUUUGUUAAAAUUAUACAUUUUUUGCAAAUUUUAGUAAGAUUAAACAAAUUUAUAUUAAAAUUGAACACAUUGUGAUGAAAAAACUCAUCAUUUAGGUUAUCUAAGGUUAUGAUGUGCUGAAGAUGAGUCUGUGCUAUAAUAUUAUUAACCCAUCAUUUAGAGAUGUGCCUAUUGCAAGAUUUUCAUAUCAUCAUUUGUGAUAAAAAAAACUCAUCCGUCAUUAUGGGCAAAUUAUUAUAUAGUUUGGAUCUUUGGUCUUCCAAUUGAACAUCUAAAAAAUAGAUGUUAUAUUAAAUUAUUUUCAAAGGAAGUUGAAUAUAUAUUUGGUCCUAUAUACUUGAAUGCGAUCAUUUUUGUAUCUUGCAUAUUGUAGCUGAAAAAAUAGUAUUUUCUACUAAUCAAUUUGCAACAUAUAAUACAAAUAGAUAUAUUUGGUCAUGAAAGACCAUAUAUAAAUGCUGACGAGCAUUUAUAUAUAUUGUGAAUUGUAUCUAGCACUAGGGCAGGUACCCGCGCCUUGCGCGGUAAGUCGAUGUUUUCGAUGUCGAAAAAAAUCUCAUUCCACUCAUUGUCAGGAGGUUCUUCGUCAUUCUGAUUCCCUACGGCCACAACCCUUCCAAUCAGAUCUGUAUUUAGAAUUUUUAAAUCAAAUACAAUAUUAGGACAAACAACUUUCUAUGAUAUUUGAACUAAAUGAGGGCGGUAUGGUGUGCCUUCUUACCGCCGCAUAUAUUUGUGUCCAAAGAGCCGCUUUUAAUAUCUUCAAAAGAGUCAAACUUGAAGAAAUUGUCAUAACUCAUAGGUUGGAUAUUCCUAAACCAAGUCGUCGAUUUCCAGUGUAUCAUAAAACGAUGAUCGGUAGGCCUAAAUGUUCCAAUCACGCGACUGAGAGAGAAACUCGACAAACUUAUCCAUGAUCUUUCUGUCAGUCUCAUAGAGAAGAUGUCUUCGAAUUCAAUACCCAUAACGGCAUGUAUUUUCUGACCCUAUAUAUGUAGAUAUAUAUGUAUCUUUUUAGUAAGUAUAUGAACAUAUAUAAAGGUAAAAAAUUGUAUUAUGAUGUAGAAAAAAUACCUCGUCAUCAACUAAGAUCAAAUCAAAGGUCUUGUAUCCAGUGAAAGAACAUGUGAACUUUCUUAAAAUUUUGACUUUAAUUUUCCACUCAUGAAUAUAAGGAUUCAGAGCAGAAACAUCAAACAGACACUCUCUCUUACCAAUUCUCUUUUUAAUAGCGUGUGAAAGUAGAUGAUCCAUCGUAGGAGAGAUGCAAAGAAAGGUAUUUUUUUUUUCAAACUUGGAAAGCAAGCGAAUGUCUCUCUCUAUAUAUAUAGUUUAGUUGAAGAGUUUUCGAAGAUGCUAAAUUACCUUUAUCAUAGAUUUUUGCUUGUAGUGAUAAAGGUAAAUAUCUAUAAUCAUUAUCAGUAAGUUUAAUUGUUGACAAUUUGUGUUCAGUAUAUAUCUUAUUAACAAUUUGUGUUAAAUAUAUAUAAUACUAUUAAUUAAACCGACAAUGUAAGCAUAAUAAGAUUUGGUUUGACGAACGUUAUAUUUUACAUGUUGUUCGUAGAAAUCAGAUCGAACUAAUUACGCGUCAUUCACGUACCAUGACGUCAAUAAUCUCAUUAGUAUUGGACGUGAAUAUUGAGAGGAUAAUAACUGUUUAAAGUUAGUAUGAAAGAGUACUUAGGAUGAUCUAAUCCUCAAUAUGUCGAGAUAACGUCGCAUUAUUUGAUAUUAUACGGUCAAUCCAAUUUGUUUUUUAUAAGUCAAACUAUCGCCUAGGCACACGAAACAUCAAUAUUUCGUUUGAUCGCAAGCAGCAAUUUCGUAUGAGAUAGAAGACAAAUAUGUUAUAUAUCGGAAGUUUCUAAAUAUCGAUCGAUUGACAAUAUUAUCAUUUAUGUAUAAAAUACAGCACAAUUAUCUAAGAUAUCCUGUGAGUAAUAAGAUUGUGACAAUAGAAUACGAUAUUUCAAUAGAACGUAAACGGCCAAAGUAUUGUAAAAUGUAAAAAGGAAAAAAGCCCAUAAGAAUAAAAAGUCAGAAAGUAAAAUAUCCCCAAUCAGAAGCCAGAGAUAAUUAUUUCUUCUUUGGAACACUUGUGCGAGUCCGCUUCCUUGAGAUCCUAUUACGAAACAAAAAUUUUAAACCGUUAUUAUAUAAGCUAGUCAUGGAGAACACGCGUAAAACUAAGAAUUCAUAAUAUAACGACUCACGAUGUCCUAAACUCAGCAACUUCUGGAAUGCCAGGAUUCAAACGGAUUUGAGUGCAUUCUGUUGCAGUUAUAGUUCGCUUAUCUAAUAUACAUUAAAAACUUAUUAUUAUUCUAGAAGAUUAUGGUAAUCACAGCAAAUCAAUAAAAUAAAAAUCAGGAUACAAAUGCGUACGUACCUUGAAACACGUCCACGACACCCCAUCGGAUCACACAAAUAAUAACAUCAUAUUGCCACUUUUUAAAAGACUUGUAGAAAUUGACUGCCUCAUAACCGACCAAUUCACACUUCAAGACAUUAUUACUAUAACACAACAACAUAAACUUAGUGUCAAUAUAAAAAAAAAAAACACAUUCACAUAUUAAGUUAUAAGACAAAAAAUACGUACCUGGAGUCACGAAGAUCAAAAGAGAUUUUAUGAUGCACGGAAUAAUCAUCCAAUUUGUCAGUUUUACGUUCUUCGAUCGUCUUACCAUCACAACCAUCGAGGUUCUCUUCCUCCGACUCAGACACAGCGCUAUAUUUUGAGUCAACAUCCUCCUCAUCAUCUUCGACGCCGUCUUCAUAAUCGUCCUCUUCCACUUCAUAGAAAUCAUCAUCGGACUCAGCCGCACAAUCACUGUCAUCUCAUUCGUCAUAGUCAUCUACAAAAUCGUACUCGUCCUCGCUUACCUCAGAAGCAUCAUCGUCAGUACUCGCAAUGCGAUCGUUGACCUCGUCAGUGUCAGUAUCUUCUUCAUCGUUAUCAAUUUGAUAUUCAGGAUCAUCUUCUACACAACCUUCGUCUUCGGUACACGACUCUUCGUCACUAUCGCCGUCACCGGUCAGCUCUUCGACAUCAUCACUGUUGUAACCAUCCAACGGCCCGGUACUCACAGUUUUGACGAUAUCUCCAGGAGGCUUUAGGCACGUCUUAAUCAAUCUUUUAAGAUAAAAAAUUUUCGGUAGAGAGUCACCAUCCUCGGAACCAUUGUCCUUUUUAUAACCAUCCAAACGAUCCAAAGUUGGAAAUUCACUAACAUGAAUGACUUGCCCAAUAACAUUGGAGAAUUAUUUAUAUUAACGUUAGUAUCACAAUUAUGUUUAAUCCAUUAACAAAUAAAUUUAAACGUUAUCUUAAAAUACUUACCAACCGUUAACGCCAUAAAUUUAUUAACAAAUAAUAAAUUUAAUCAUCAGAAUGAACGCCAUACGUUAUCUUUUUAAAAUCAACGAAAUCAAAGAAACAAUCAUCGCGCAUAACAGACGCUAUAUCGAUUUCAGUUGAAUACGGAACAAUUAUUUUGUAUCGAUGAUUAGUGGCCCUGCACGAACCAUACUGCUCAACAACCUUAAAAUCCUUAAAAUCAAACCAAUCACCAGGACUAAUCUUAGAAGCAUAACGAUGGUAAGCACAUCCUCUAAACGAAGCCUGCACCUUUGUACCCUUCCAAAAAGAACCAACAAAAAGAGAAAACAUAAAAAAGAUGAUUAGAACAGAAAUCCAACAAUCAUAAUAUAAGGAAAAAAAACAUUAAUUCACAAACCUUACUAUCGGACAGAAUUACUUCUAGACUUGUGCCAAGUUCACACUCUUCAUGGUGCUAGACAUUCAGAACCCGCACCCGGAUAAGCCAAUCAGUCUUAGAAGAAUUCAAGAGCGAAACAUCGUCAAACAUCCUGUACCUCAUCACCUGGCAAAAUUAAGUAAUGAGAAGGAUCAGAAAGGGCUAAAUCGUUACGGAAAGCAAGAAUAUCAUAACGAAGUUGUAGUCAUUAUCUAAUAAAGAUCCUUACACUGGGAACAAAAAAUCGAGUAUGUCUAGUCGCUAAUCACGGUGGUUUAUGGUAGAGAUAUAUCUAUAUAUAUAGAUAUACGGAUAGACUCAACCAAAGUCAUAUAAUUAUAGAAAAAUAACAUUUUAAAAAUCGUCGUGAUACACACACAAUCACAAAAAAAUCGGUAAAUAUUACAAAAACAUUAUAUUCAUAUUUAUCUCCAAACUUCGCGGUUACCAAAUAAAAUACUGAGAAUAUUUAGUAUAACAUUUAAAUACUUUUUAAAAAAAGAAACUAACAUAAUAUGGAACAUAUAAUUACAUAAAGAGGAAAAACCGUAAACGAUAUCCAUAGAUUAUUCCGCUAAAAUGUCAACAUUCAUAUAUUCACAUAUUCAUUCUAGCCAAAAAAAAAAAAAUGGAAACAUCUAACUUCCUAUGAGCAAAACAUAUAGACAUAUAUAAUAAUUAUAAUACGGAAAUUUCUAUAAUCAGCAAAACGGAAAAAUAGAAAACUGUUUAAUAGUAUAGAAUAUUUGUAUAUAUCAAUAUUCAAUACAAUCUCGAAAUAUUUGGUAGUAAAACAGAAUAAGUAGUUCUUAUCGUAAUAAUUUGUGUUUAUAAUAAUUGUUUAAAAGUUUCCGAUAUUUGUAUAUAUCAAUAUUAAAUACAAUCUCGAAAGAUUUGGUAGUAAAACAUAAUAAGUAGUUAUUAUCUUAACAAUUUUGUUUGUAUAAUAAUAUUAUAUAGUAUAAUCUCCAAUUACAAAAAUAAUGAUUAUGUGUAUAAUAAAAUUGUAUAGGAUAACCUCAAGUAAUACGUACCAUAAUAUGGUCUAUUUGUUAAGAUCAUAUCAAAUCAACCACAAAGAUCAUAUAAAAAAAAGAAAAUGAGAUAUAUAUAUAUUGCUAUAGUUAUUAUUGAUAUAUAUGUGUUUCAACUUGAUUUAUGUAACUCAAAUUAUUAAUAACAUUUAAAAUAAACGGAUGCGAUAUUUCAUCAUUAUUAACAGCAUACGUUUUAAGGUUAAUUGUGCUUUAUUUCUCUAAGAACGGGUAAAUUGGGUAUAGCUAAACGAAUAAGAUAGUUUCAAAUACGCUAUAGUUCACAUGAUAUACCGAUAUAAAGUGUCAUGCCGCCGAUUAGGUAUAAACCAUCGCAUAUAUAUUCGGAGUAUUAAUAUUCUCAAUAGCGAAUAUUUUUCCGGUAAAAAAAUUAGAAUAAGAAUAUGGGUAAUAUUAUUCCCAAGACGAUAAGCUCAACAUAUUCAAAAGUAUUUCAUUCAUUAAUACGGAAAAGAUUUCGUUUACUAAUACGAAUUUAGUAUAGUAAACAAAGAUAUCAUAACCAAAACCUAAAAAUACAUCGAGAUAUCGAUAACACGAUAAUGAUAAUUAUAAGUCCGGAAACACAUCUUCCAGUCCAUAUCGACUUGUGCCCCCUUUUUCAUACGAUCCGGACCACGUCGCGGCCGAUGAAUAAUCUUCAUAGACUCCAUAAUAUAGAACACAUCAUGCUGAACAGAUUUAAAGUUUACAUAUCACAUAAAUAUAUUUAAAACAAUAAAACAAUGCGUUAUAAAAAAAAGGCAACACGUAAAAGAAUACAGAUCGUACCAAAUAUAAUAAGGCCGCACGGUCGAUCGAUUGAUGAUCAUAACUAUAUGAUCACGCAAUAGUAGAGCAAUAAAAUUAAUUUUGUUUUUGGUAAAAAACGCAUAAAUCAAGCAAGAUUAGGGAGAUACCUCAGUUUGGUUUGAGAUUUGUUUGCAAUUCCAUGAUCCAAAAAGUUUAUGCUUGUACCUGAGGAAAGAAAGAAGUGCUAAUCAAAGUCAUGAGAAUUAUCAUGCAUAUAUAAAACCAAACAGCUACGAAAAUCAAAACAUGUAAUCGACCAAACUAUAAACCUCGCGUAAACAACUCAUCACGAAUUGGCAAAGAUCUUUGAAAUCUUACUUUCCAAGUGAGCAUAACAUACAAAGGAGAAAAAAAAAACUGACGACGAUGCAUCAUAGAAAGGACCAAAUUUGAGGUACAAUAAAGUACUAUAAACCAUAAUUGCUAUGCAUAAAAAUCAAGCCGUGAUGUAUGAGUUUCAAGGGAGGCAUCCUAUAUUUAUAGGAUUUUUCAGCAUAAAGGUUUAGGGUUUUACAUAUGACAGUGUAAAUUAUACCGGGCCAUUUUUCCCCCGUAAAAGUAUAAGCCCAAUAAGCGAAUGAACGAAUUAGGGUUAAAGAAACGAAAAUCGUUUAUUUCCUUUUUUCAGAAUUUCGUUUUUUUUUAACAAAAUGGAAAUUUAAAUAAUUUAAUCUAAUUAAAUGGAGGGGGGUAAAAACGACUGCUCAUAUUCUGAGAGCGAACGUGAGCACUUUUGACUUCUCCUUUAAUAUAUAAGAUUUGCUACUAAUCUAUUUGCAUGAUAUAAUUCAUCCCCCAUGAGUAGAUAUUGGAAUAAGUUAAUUGAGGCAUCUCAAACUAUCCACAUCAGCGAAAUGAAAACUAUGUAAGAGGAUGCCACAUUACCUACACCUUAGCCACGUCAUCUAAAAUAUAGUGAAAGAAAUUGUCUCUUCGCCUCCUCCCGAAAACGUUCGGCCACAAACUUUCCCUAAAUCCAUAAAUCUCCCACAAUGCCACAAACUCUUCGAUUUCAAGCUUCUCUCAUCUCCUAUGGCUUCUGUUACUUUUGGAUUCAAUUUCAGCACAUGUUCUUUGAAGCUCCUCCCAUCUCAUGUUUAACCGAAAAGACCAUGAUCUCUUCAGUUUUCAAUGCGGUUUAUACAUCCAGAAUCAACACAACCUUUGUAAAUAGAGAAUCCGGCAAACCAUAGGUAAAACAUCGCCCUUCUUCUUCUCAUUCUCUUUAAUCUACGGGAAGUCAAAUUGUCGUAUGACUAUAUAUAUAUAUUGAACGCAUGUUGGCUUGCUCAUUUAGAGGCUUCUCUCGAUUUUAAACCUUUUUUCUGAUUAAGUAUCAAGUCACUGGAUAAUCAAACAAGUUUUUCAUGGUGACCAAAAGCAGAACAAAUUUACGGGAAGUUAAAUUGUCAUAUGACCAUAUAUAUAUAUUGAACGCAUGUUGGCUUGCUCAUGUAGAGGCUUCUCUCGAUUUUAAACCUUUUUUGUGAUUAUGUAUCAAGUCACUGGAUAAUCAAACAAGUUUUUCAUGGUGACCAAAAGCAGAAGAAAAAUUGAAGGUACAAGAACAUCCACAAGGGUGAGUGCAUCUCAAGGUACGCCAGAAAUAAAAACGAGAUAACGGGGUAUGUUUCUAAGCGAGUGUUUUUUAAGUGUAUCAUUAUCUUUCUUUUUCCCUCCUCUACCAUAAAUAAUUUAUAUAGUGUCUCCCUUACCGGGAUGAAGUGUUUCAAUUUCAGGGUUUGUUGUCUACGUUUUCGAAUCUGAGAUUAUGUAUUCACAAGAUUCCAAAGAUUGGCUCAGCUAAUUAAAUGGAGAAAUGUUCUUUUAUUAGGACUUCUAGAAAUUAUUACUUUAUAGGUAUAAAAUUACAUUGGUCAUCUCUGCCACAGAAAUCAACUCGCCUAGAAAGAGUUCCAAACUAAAUUUGUAAAACUCAAAGAUUCUUGCUAGCUUUCUUUGUUCUUUGGCCUUUCAGGCUAUUAUUUUUAAUCCAAAAAUCAAUAAAGGCGUAAAAGAUUUAAUGUUAUGUUUUUCCUUCGCUAAUGCUCUUUCAGGCUAUUGACAAUCUUCCACGAAUCUUGUGGCCGAAUCCAAAAGAAAAUUCCUACCUCUCUUUAUUUUCAGGAACUCAUCGAUGUUAAAGAUAAUGGAAUGGCAUUUACGGCUAUAUUCAAGAAGUGGAUAUUGAUGGUACGUAUUUCUUCCAGAUCUUGAGAAUUCAAAGGAUAUAUGAAAAUCUAAUUACAAAGUUUUCAUACCCUUUGAUCUUUUUCAAAGCUCUACCAAGUCACAGUUUUAAGUGGAUGAAGUAAUACCAUGUAUCCGGGAUUACCAGGCCGGUAUAUACUUGGUAUCCAGCACAAAAGCUUGAUCGUUUAUAUUUAGUCUUAACAAAGAAAUCCAGGAUUGGUAUCUUGAUACAAGUCUAAAUUUAAGGAAACAAAGAUGGCUUGCAUGUCCAGUAAUGUAUGUGUGCUUUUGAGAAAAACAACGUUUUACCGAAAUAAACGCUUAUAAAAUUAGAGAAGAUCAACAUGAACGGUUGGCCUAACAAAGGUAAAGUCCUCGCCAUAUUAGAUUUUUCAACGAUAACAAAGGUUGGAUUUGUGUGACAUUUUUGCUUAUAGAUGAUUGUAAAGUUUCAUUUAAUACUACCAUUAGUAUACAUGUGUCCCAUGCAUCUACAUAGUAGAAGCGGAACAGUUCUCUGGAUAUGAAUAUUUUUGUAUUAAAUGUAGCAGUUUCAUUCUUAAACAAAUUAAAAACAAUGACACUGUUUAAUACUUUUUGUAAUUAUUGUUUCAUAAAUACAAUACUCCUAAAUGGCUAAAUCACUUUGUUAAACUUACCUUAAUGAUACAGUUUGGUUUUAUCACACACAAAUAGAGAAAACAAAUAUAUGCUUACUCAAUAGUCUUUUGCUAAAGUAUUCCACAAAAUUAUCAAAUGUGCUUAGUGUUACUAGAGAACUAAUAUGUUAAUCAUAUGAUUUAAGAAAAACAGAAGACAGAAGAUAAUUACAAAGAACUAAUAUUUCUUUACAUAAAAAGAUUAAUAUAAAAUUUUAAUUAAAUUAUAUGAUAGUUCACAUCGAUUUUGUUGAGAGUAUACAACUCUCCGUUACUCUAUAGUCUAGAAAUCUAUAAGACAUAUAUAAGAUAAUUACAAAGAAAAAAGAAAUGGUGAAGGAAACAAAUAUGAUAGAUAUUACAAAAAUCACAUCAUAUAUAUGAAAGAUGAUCAACUCUCUCCAUAUGAGUGCCACAUCAUCACACAAAAUAUAACAUGUGUCAUUCUACAUUAUUUAAAUAAAAAAAUGAGCCAAAUUAAUUGAGAAAAUUAGAAAAUUAGAAAAUGAGCCAUUCUACAUACUUGUAGCUUUUUUCUUUAAAAUAAAAUAAAAAUUAGAAAUUAUGUUAAUAAAUUAAGCACUAUUUUUAUUUUACACAUCUUAUUUUAAUAUUUUUUUUUAUUAAUAAUCACUAUUCGAUAAUGACUGAAAAUUUAUUUGUGUUGUAGACUUGUAAUGUAGUUGUUUGCUACCUAACCUUUUAUUAGUUUAGUAAUUUUACCUUAGUCUUUUCUCAUUAUUACGUUUUGUGGUUCAUAUACGACUUUUCAUAUGAUCUUCUCUCUUUUUAUUUUUGUGUCUUAUGAUAAGUUGAUUACCUUGACAUGAAAGUUUUUCAAGUAAUAGGCCUUUGAGACGUUAGACAUAUCAAGAUUUUCAGACACGGUCAUUUCUCUUAUAUAGCUAUAUGCAAUGGCAGAAUAUCUAAAAGCGUUGAGUUAAACGACAUUUUUUUUUGUCUUUUUCUUCUUUUUAUAUGAAAACUCUCGAGAUCUUGUUCAAUUUAUGUCAAUCCAGUAGUUAAUCAUGAGACUAUCACGAUGUGGCUAGAAUACUAGAUCAUGAGAGUACAUAAAACAAGGAAUUGUUUAAUUAUGAUCAAGUCACGCAAGUUCCAAAUCACACAAGUAACAUAAUUACAUAUAAUUAUAUCAAAAUAUCCUACAUUGUUGUUGUAUGUAUUCAUGAUAGUGAAAACAAUUAGGAUCUUAGAUAUAUAAAUAAUCAGAUUUAUACAUGAAAAUGUCUAAAUUGAUAUUCGAGUCAAAAAUGAAUUUAACCAUAACUACAUAAGAUGAAUCUAACUUUAUUAACUAUACAAUAACAAAUAAAAAAAUAAACAUAAAUUAGCAACAAAAACAAUCAGCAUAAUUUCUUCUUAACAAUUUUCAAAACAAACCCACGCGUAGCGUGUGUAUUCAUCUAGUGGAGAAAUAAGACAUCUAGGCUCUAGCUUGAACAACUCAAGAUUAUAAUCACAAAAACAAGCAACCAAGUUUGAGGCAGUGAUACUAAAAGGAAAAUCGAUAUCAUAUGCUUUAUUUGCUAAACGAACAAUCAAAAUUAAUAGACUAUUGGUAAUUCUUUGGAGAUUUAAAGAUUCUAAUAAUUAUAUAUAUAUAUAUAUAUAUAUAUAUAUAGAGAGAGAGAAAAAUGUAACAUACAAUUAUAGAUAUAUAAUUGGUUGAGUUACUCAAAAAGCACAAAAAAGGGCGUUAAUUACCCAUAUGACGCGUACGAUUUGUCGCUCGUUAAAGGCAGAAUUGCCCCUCGUCUGAUGUUGUGUGGGAAACGUAAUUACGAAUCUGCCAUUAAAAGAUGCUGCCACGUCAGUGAGAGAAGGUGUAUUUUACCCGCGAAAAUGUCCCGCGCCGACAAAAGUCUGUCGCUGUAGUGACGGCAGAGUUAAUUAAAUUAUUAGAUUUAAUCGAUAGAAAUAAAAAAAAACUAUAUUUUUCAGGUAGAUUAAUAUCAUAGAGUUAAUAAUUGAUAGAGUUUACGGAUAGAGAUAUUUUAUGUGGUAGCAGAGUUAUUUGUUUCAUAGAGUCAUUUGACAGAUUAUGAUGACUUUACGUUUACUCAUAUAACACCGUGAUAGAUUUAAUUUUAUGUGGUGGUAGAGUUAUGUGACAUUGUAAAAUAAUAUAUUUGUGAGGGAGAGUUUUAUGUUAUGGUGGUAGACUAAAAGAGCGAUUUAGAGUUAUAUGACACAGAAACCGUAAAAAGUCUGUUACAACAUGGUAGAGUUAAUUAUUUGGACAGAGUUAAGAAAUAACUCUGUCAUAACGAGGCAUAGUAACAGUUUACUCAACUUGCACGUUUGGGCGUUUUUUUUGGACGUAUGUGAUGAUAGAUAUGUAAGAAAUUGUUAUCGAUUAGUGUUAAAGAGGGCGAACAUAAAAAAAAAGCGAAAGUCUUGUUUACCCUUACAUUAACGAUUUAUUACGCCGGAAACCUGUCUUGUUCCCCGAAGCAAACAUUUUAGCAAAAAAAGUGUUGUUUAUUACAGAUCUAUUGCUGUUUCAUCUGGUGAAAGAUGGUAGAAAUUCCACUGGUAUGUGGGAAGUGGAAAUUUGCAAAAAACAAAUGGUCAUGUAUUGUAGAUGAAAGAAGAGGUUGCAGGGUACUGUCUGCGAAAGCACGAAGUUCGUUUGAUGAUUUUUUGGCAAUGGUGUACGAGGAUUUCGGGUUUGAUAGAAAGGUUUAUGAGGUUAAGCUUAGUUAUAAAUUGCAUACGAUGAACUUCAUCGUCAUUCCAGAAGAUACUCCUCCGGUUAUUGUAUGUAACCGGUGCCAGUUAGAAGGAUUUAUCCGGCAAUGCAAUUCCGAAUUCGUGGGGCACCUCUGUGUCCAAAUCGAAGAAUAUGAAACUGAAAAAUAUAUUUUCGACCCGAAUGUAUCACCUGAGAAAAAAGAGUCCAACGAAGAGCAGUAUUACAAGAGUAAAUCAGAAGGGAAACAACCAAUUUAUACUUGUUCAAUGGACGGCGAAGCUUAUCUAGAAGGAGAGGAACAUAAAAGCGAGGAUGAGGACGAGAUUUACAGGUUUGAUUGUUGCGAUGAUAGUGAUGGAGCAAGCUCUGGGGAUGAAGAUUACGGUAUGUCUUAUAAGUUAUCAGAUGAGGAAACAGAUGAUGAAGAUGAAGCUGAUGCAGAAAAGUUGGAAGUUGAAGAAGAAGAAAAUGCAGAGGAAGCAGCGGUUAAAGAUGAAGAAGAUGAAGAAAUGGUAGAUGUGCAAAAUAAAGAAGAGAAUAAAAUCGUUCCAAUUGGCAAGAGGGUGUCGAUUACUGCAAAAGAGUAUGUGCAAUUACUUAGUGGAGGUGUUGCUAUCGCUGUUGGGCAAAAUAUGAAUCGAAAUUUCAAUUGGUGAUUCGAAUGAAGAUAAUUAGUGUCUUACAAAAAUUUGACUUCGUCGUUGCUCGGUCUACGCCGUGGGUUUUUGCUGUAAAGUGUUGGGUUAAAGGGUGCACUUGGAGAGUUAGAGCUACACCGAUUGAUGCAUCUGGGAAUUUUCACAUCAAAGUCUAUGUGAAUCAGCAUACGUGUUCUGUAACAGAGCGAUCCGCCCAUUGUAGACAAGCAACCAAGGAUAUACUUGCAGUACUUUACAAGAAUUUCGUUGGUGGUGUAGGCCCAGAAGUACUCCCUAAUCAUGUCUCUGAGGCGUUGAAACUGCGUUAUGGCAUCAAGGUAAGUCUAUUUACUAGGUUUCCAUAUAAGUGCUCACACCCGUAAGGCUUUGUUAACUAUAUGACAUAAACUUUCAUCUCACUAGGUUGGAUAUUGGAAAGCUCAUCGUACACUUAAUUAUGCACGUGAAUUAGUUAGAGGUAGUCCGGAAACAGGGUAUCAAAACCUUCCAGAAUACUUAUACAGGAUUAGGAGAGCAAACCCCGGGAGCCUUACUAGGCUUGAAGUAGAUGAGUUAGAUAGAUUCAAGUAUGUUUUCAUUUUAUUUGGUGCUAGCAUUGACGGCUUUACUUUUAUGAGGAAAGUUAUUGUUGUUGAUGGUACAUUUUUGAAGGGGAAAUAUUUAGGGACCUUGUUACUAGCAACCACACAAGAUGGAAAUUUCAAUAUAUUUCCCUUAGCGUUUGCUGUUGUUGAUUCAGAGAACGAUGAAUCCUGGGAAUGGUUCUUCAGACAACUAAGCUGUGUUAUUCCAGAUGAUCAUGGACUAGCCAUUAUUUCGGAUAGGCAUAAAUCUAUUGCAAAAGCUAUACGGACUGUAUAUCCACAAGCUAGCCGAGGGAUUUGCACAUACCAUCUACACAAAAACAUAAAGCUUAGAUUUAGAGGAAGUGAAACAUUUGGAUUAGUGAAGAAGGCGGCUACAGCUUAUCGGUUAGUAGAUUUCAAUGCAACUUUUGAUAUUAUUAAAGCUUUGUAUCCAGACCUGCACAGCUAUUUGGUGCGGGCAGACAUAACUACGUGGAGUAGGGUUCACUUUCCAGGAGAUAGGUACAACUUCACAACAAGCAACAUUGCUGAAUCAUUAAACAAAGUGUUAAAUCCUGCUAGAAGGUAUCCCAUUGUUGAACUGCUAGACGAUAUAAGAUUGAUGUUAACUCGAUGGUAUGCUGCAAGGAGAAAACAGGCUGCGCUUAUGACAACCAUUCUCACUAAAGGAGUUGAAAAAGCACUAGAGGUAUUACAUUCCACAUAAUUUACUUUAUUUUAAACUGUUUGCCUUUAUUUUUUGAUCCAUCUAUUUUAAUUACUGUGUCUUUCCUCUAACAGUCCCGAGUGACUCGCGCUAGUAAGCUAAGUUUUCAGGAUAUUGAUCUCCAUCAAUACGAAGUGAGGAGUCUUGCGUCUAUGAAUGUUGUUAAUUUAAAACAGAAGAAGUGUACAUGUCGUAUGUUUGACCUCGACAAACUGCCUUGCAUACAUGCGAUAGCCGCAGCUGAUUUGGCUCAUGUAUCAACGAUUUCAAAGGCCCAUCCUUACUAUCGCUCAGAAUACUUACGCAAUGGUUAUUCAAAAUCUGUAAUGCCAAAGGAUGAGGCUUGUUCUGUACCUGAUUCAGUCACCGGGAAGGUUGUCAAUCCACCUUUUGUUAAGGUUCAAUCUGGGAGGCCGAAGAUGUCAUGGAUGAAAGGUCAUUUAGAGGUUGCAUCACCGCGCAAAGUACCAAGGAAAGCAUAUGCUUGUUCUAACUGUGGAAAUGCUGGCCACAAUCGGCUGUCCUGCAAAGCUUGAUACAUUUGGUGAUUUGAACAUAUCUCUACUCUAUGUUGGACCAAUUUGUAUGAAUACAUUUGUUUUCUCUAUGUGUUGUUGUUUUCAGUGAAGCAAUCCUUAAUAUCAAAAACAGAGUUGUUGUUACAAAAAAACAGAGAACUACAACAUCAUUGGGAAUGCUAUUGUUCUUAACACAUAUCAUGGAACCUAUUUGCGUAAUUAAAAACUAAGCAAUGCUGACAAACAGUUAAAUCCGUGUUGUGGUCAAAAUAGCAUAUUGGAUACUCUAAGAAAUGGAUAUAUCCUGAAAAAACUCUCCGUCCUCCAGGACCGAUAAAUCUGACCUGGCUUUCCACCACAUCUGCAAUGUCAAUCGCAUCUUGCAAAGUUUCAAAUCUAGCCAUAAAGGUUCUGUUAACUAUCAUACCUUUUUCAUAGGAUCCACAGCAUAAGAGCAUAACGGCAAAUGCAAACAUAGUGUAGAGGUCAGAAUAACCUACUUCUCCAAGCAUCUCCAACGCUUCAACCGACGGGCCAACUUGAGUCAAUCGGCGCAGAGAUUCGAUGUAUCCAGCAGUCUUAUGACCUUCAGCUGCGCAUCUUAACAAGAAUGGUCGGUAGAUAGAUUCUUCUCUACCAAGUCUAGUGUUAAACAUGAAUUCAUCAAGAUCUACGUCGAGGAGAACUUCACGUGAGUACACAAUCUCUUUAAAACAAGGGCCAGCAACAAUGAAAGGACCAAGGUAUCGAAAUCCCUCACUUCCAAUACGUCGGAUUAUAUCUGUUAUGAGGGGAUUGGGAAUGAAGCUCAUUGUUUAUGUCGUUUUUCGUCACAUGGAGAGUGAGAGCGAAAUGAACAAACUUUACUUUUAUAUAGUUGCAUAUAGAAGACAAGAUACUAAUCUAAUCGUUGACGUUUUAGUUGACUUACACGACCAGCUGAGUACAUAUUGGGCUUUUAUUAAAAACAAUUAAUCCGGCCCAUAGAAAUCCAAACAUGUGCCCUAAUUUUUUAAAGUCCUCCGCUUGGGCGCCGAGAGAUCCCGUCGAAACUCCGUCUUUUUUGCUUCUGAAACCUCUGCAUCUUCUUCUUUGGUUAGUUUGAUUCGUAUUCGAAUAUGAUAAAAUCUUUGGGGGUGUUGUUGUCAGGAAGGGCUCGAGUUAGAGACCAAACGGAUAUAACAGCAGAAGAACCGGGGGAAAAGUAUCCUUCGACCGGAGCUUCAAAUGGUUCUGAUGUUGCUGUAAGUGUUCCGACAGAAGAUUCUUCAGAUGCGGCUAUAAAAGAUCCAGUAGAAGCUUCCGAUGCUUCUGAAUUGGAUCGAACAGAGGAUCCCGUAGAAGGAUUAAAAGGAACAGAAGUUGUAGAAGAAAUGGAAGAAGUAGCUGACAAAGAGGAAGAGGAAGAUGUCGAGAGAAACAUUGAUGCUGAGGAUGAUGAUGAUUCCCAACCACUGCCACCAGAGAAUAUGUUCUUCGGUCCAACUGAGUACAUCAAGGUCUGUAAGGUAGGAAGUAGGUGUCAAUUGGGCCAAACAGUGGCAAUGAUAGAGGGAAUUGAUGCAGAAUUGAAGUGGUUCCGUAAUCAUGAUCAAUUUAAGCAUAUGUUCCACAUGCCUAAGGAACCAAAUCAUAUGUUACAAGGCAUGUGGAUGCUUAUGGUUCGCACCUCUAAGACGGAUAUGGUGAGAGAGUGUUGGUUUGUGGUGAAUGGAGUGCCUAUAAGGUAUUCUAUGGAAGAGCACGCUUUGUUGACCGGGUUGGCCUGCCAUGAGUACCCGAAAAAUCUAGAGAAGAUUGGCAGUUUGAAAUUUAUUAUGAAGAUUUUUGGGAGGACAGAUCAAAUCAAAAUUAAAGACGUGGAAAAGAAGGUGAAAGAGUUCAAGGAUCAGGAGUGUGUUGCUAGAAAGAAAUUGACAAUCUUGUUAUUUUUAUGCAAGGUUCUGAAAGCAGAUUCAAAAGGUGAUGCAAACAUAGAGCAAUUACUGUUAAGGAUUGUUAAUAAUGUGGCAGCUUGUGAGACAUUCCCGUGGGGACGGUACUCAUUUGAGCAGUGUAUGGAAGGGAUCCAGAGAGUAAUGAAGAACAUGAAAGGGUCAGUAAAACCGAAAGCUCAAACAAGCUUUUAUGGAUUCAUUACCCCUCUUGAGGUGAGUCUUCAAAUUAUUAUGAAUUACAGUUUUGAAUUAAUAGUAAUAUAAUGUUAAGACAGUGUUAUUUUGAAUGUGUAGAUUCUGGCUUUUGAGUGCAUUCCACAGCUUUGAAGGAGAUUCAGAGAAGCUGUACCCGCAGAGAAUGAUUGUCCGAGAAUGUGCAAGCAUAGGUUCAGUGAUAGUUGCAUGAAGGGCUUUACUUUGGAAGAAAUACAUGAAGCUCUAGGAGAAACUACGGUUAGCCGUUUGGAACCUCACGCUUUAUUUGAUUUGGUUAGUUAAUCUAUCUUCAUUUUGAAGCUAUGUUAAUUUGACAGGAUAUUUCAAGUAUCUUGGAACCUGAUUUAGAUGAGAGGAAUAUGCUGUCUCGCCUCUUAGUGAAUGAUGUUGAUGAUGGGAUAGGAUUUAUAGACCCAAUAGUUGAUAGCUGGAGAGAGCGGCUUAUCAGACAGAAGAAGAAGAUCUGGUGGGAAAGUCAUUACCAAAUGGAUUUGGAUGCAAGACGCAAUGCUGAUGUCCCUGAAGAAGUUGAUGAUGUUCCUGUUCCAUCUAUCCUCUCAUUACAGGCCGCGAUGGAUAAAGGAUUUGAGAAAAUUGGGGAAAAGCUUGUUGAGAUGGACACCAAAAUCAAUGCUCUGGAUAUGAGAGUUAAGGGGUUAGACAACUAUGUUACAGUUCAGAAAGAUAAAGAGCUAGAGAAGGAACGUUGUGAAGAUAUGUAUCCUGGGUCACCAAAAGAUUUUGUGCCAAAUGUUUAUCAGUCAACACAUCGUCAGAGCAUGGCUUUGGUUAUUCACAGUGGAGUUGCUGACCCAAAACCUCCAAUUAUCCAGGCUUUAUGUGAGUAGUUAGGUACAGCGUUUACGUUCAAGUUUGAAUAAUUUGCAACCGUUCUUACUUAGUGAUUGUCUCCAUAUUUGUGAAGGUGAUGGGGAGCAGGGGUCUGGGAAGAGCAAGUUUCUGGGAAAGAGCAGGAGACUAACAAGAAUAAGACGAGGAACCAGAAGCGGAAGCAUUGUGGGCCGACAAUUGAAACUGGGAAAAAGCGAUCAACGAGGGAUUCCAAGUUUAAGGAGGAGCCGUAUACAGGAGAUGGCAAGGGCCAGAAAGGGAAGGGGUAGAAGGGUAAGAGAAGACAAAAGAAAUAGAAUGUGAUUGAUGCUUACUGUUAAUUUCCAUUCAUAGUUGCUUUGCCUCCAAAAUACUUUCAUAACUAUUGGUGUUUUUUGUUUUAUCUUGAUGAAACUGUGAAAGGUGAUUUGGGUAAUUUGAGACGCUUUAUUUGAUGUUCAAUUACUUAUGAAAGUUUGGGUCUAGGAAUCACAAAAUAGUGUAUAUUACAAUAUAAUGCAGCUGGGCCAACUGAAACAUAAUGCAGAUGGUCCAACUGAAACAUAAUAGAAGUUAGAGUAUAAUAUUAGACAUAAUUGACCCGGUUGUACCUGGGACUUACUUUGCCACUAAAAUACAAAUUGUAAUUUUGCGGAUUCUCUCGUAAAUAAGAAGUUGUCGGAGAUUUAAGCAAAUUUGAGUAUAUUGGGGAGAGAAGAGAUACUACAAAUUGACGGAAUAAAUAAAACAUUUCUUUAUAAAAUGUGGGGUGGCCCUGGAUUCUGUUCUACUGUGAACACGAGAAAUAGAUACAUUGUGGGGUCCCUGCCAUCUAUAUAUUGUACAUACUUGUAUCUAGAUGUCUUGUUGUCCUCUGGCCUUCAUAGUUGAACAAAAUGAGAUUUGGUUAUUUUGAAGUUGAACAUUGACAUCCAAACUAUUAAUCUAGUUGUUCACAUCAAUGUCCACAUAAGAUGAGUUAUUAAGCAGUUUUUAUAGGAUUUAUUUUUACUAUGAAAUUGUUUCACUUCUUUUGGUAUCAAUAUAGGUAAUCAUGCCCUAAUAUUUCCUUGUUACACAAAGAGUGAUUUGUGUAAAAACAAGCUAAUGAUCAAAUGAAACUUAUGCCUAUUUAUAUAUAGGGAAACUUACUAGUUUGACCCAAAUAAUGGCUUUAAUUACUAGAAUGUCUCAUAAAAUAUAGGGGUUAGACUGGUUAUUUUCAUGACGAUAAUACCCUUGCUCUCUUUGUUAGGAAAAAAAAAGAGUCAAAUUUACCCCUAAAAUUUUUCGAAAAACGUCUGAAAAAAAUUCAGGAAAUUUUUUUGGUUUUUGAAAAGUCUGCUGGGUUCGUUAUGACAGAUUUAUUUUAAAUGGCAGACUUAUUUAUCAACGACAGAUUUUUUGUGACAGAUUUCUUAUCUCUCACAGACUUAAUUUAACAGGUAGUGGCAGACUUAAGUUAACACCACAGACUUUCAUCACUUUGACAGAUUUAUUAAAAUUAGUGGCAGAUUUAUGUUCCUAGUGGCCUCAGACUUUAAAUUUUCAUAAAAAUAUCUGUCAUCAAGUGACAGAUUUGUUUUUGAAAAAAUAAUUACCUCUAAUUACUAGAAUGACUUAGUAGUGAUAACAGAUUUUUUUUAUGUUAUGACAGUUUUUUUUUUUAAACAAAAAAAACUGUCAAGUGAUAGCAGAUUUGUCAUUAAAAAAAAAAAUUGCUAGAUUGACUUACAAUCGCAAAUGAAAUAUUUCUGUGAUGACAGAUUUUAUUUACAUUACGACAGAUUUAGGAUUAGUUCAAAGAAAACUGUCACAUUACGACAGAUUUAGUGAUGAAAAAGAAAUUGCUGGAAUGACUUCGUAUAGUGAUGACAGAUAUGUUUUAUGCAAUGUCAAAUUUUAAUUUUUAUUCAUGUUAUGACAGAUUUUUUAUACAUAUUUGAUGACAGACUUUUCAUGAUGGACUACAUGACAGACUUUUUAAACACGACAGACUUUUUUGUUUUGAAUUUCCAUAACUGAAAAAUAAUAAAUGACGAGAUAAUCUAACUUACCAUAUUUUUCUAGGGUUUUGGGCUAUCCUAACCGUUUCUCUAUCAUCUAUCUCGUUUCUCUAUCUCCACGACAGCCACGUUUUUUGACAGCCACGUUUUUUGAAAUUCACCAUGAUGUCUCAAAAGAAAGGUUUGGAGAUGGAUCAGGUGAUUCUCGUAUGUGGCAAAUGGAUUUUCGAGAAUAACAAAUGGUCGUUCACCAUUGAUACAAAUAGAGGAUGUCGAGUUCUGGAAGCUAAUAGGGAAACCAGUUACUCUCAAUGCAUUCGAAUGGUAAUGGAGGAUUACGGAAUCGAGAAUAGAGGCUGUGAUGUUGUGUUGAGUUACAAGAUUUCGAAGAUGUUGUCUCAGAAUCUACCGGAUGAUACACCACCCGUUAUUAUUACUAAUUCAAGACAGUUUCACUCUUUUUUAGGGCAUUUGAAGAGCGAUACAAUUCGACUUUGUGUUGAAGUGAAGAAGAAAGUUACAAUUGAAGCUAAUCAACCCAACACCGAUGGCAUCGUUGAUAGUACCUUGCAGAGAAAACGAACAAGAAUUGCAAACGAGUUGGUUAAGGAAGUUACGGAUUUGAUUAAUGAAGCUGUUGGUGAUGACGGCGAUGACGAUGAAGAAACGAGAUUUGAUUACUGUGACGACUCUGACGGAACCGAUUCUGAUGAUGAGAAUUAUAGCUUGUAUGGGAUUCCACCAGUUGUAGAAGAAAAACAAAUACUGCCGUUGAAGAAAAAGAGUUCAGGUAUCUAUAUUGAAGAACAAAAAGAUGAUGAUUAUUAUGCAAAGUUUCAAUUACCUUCUGUGGAUUUGGCUGUUGGACAGUGUUACGAAUCAAAAGAACACUUGGAAACACGACUGAAGAUACUAACCGUAGUACAUAGAUUCGAUUUCUACGUAGACAAAUCGACACCUUUUCUUUUGAUUGUCAAGUGCUGGAUAAAAGGGUGUACGUGGAGGGUACGAGCUACGACACAAAGAGACUACCCAAAGUUUCAUAUUCGUGUUUUUAUUUCUGAACACUCAUGUUCAGUAACAGAGCGUUCUGCACGUGCCCGUCAAGCAACUCAUGAUAUUCUAGGAGUAUUAUACAAGGAUUUUGUUGGUGGAAUUGGCCCCAAAGUAUUGCCAAUGCAUGUUCCUGAAUCAUUGAAUAAACGUUUUCAGAUCAAGGUACAAUACAAAUUUUAAUAAUUUUUGGCGUUUUAAAACAAAAAGUUUUUUAUGUUUAACAGAAACAGUAAUUUUUUCUUAAUAGAUGGAUUAUUGGAAGGCUUAUAGGACGCUCAGGUAUGCGCGAGAAUUGGUAAGAGGAAGUCCAGAGAGUGGUUCUGAGCAAACUACCUACUUACUUAUACAUGUUAAGAAGAGCUAAUCCGGGGACAUUGACGAGACUUGAAGUUGAUGAAGAAAAAAGAUUUAAGUACAUGUUUCUACCCUUUGGUGCAAGCAUGCUUGGAUUUCCAUUCAUGAGGAAAGUGGUGGUUGUUGAUGGUACUUUUCUACAGGGAAAAUACAAAGGGACACUUCUUACAGCAACAACUCAAGAUGGUAAUUUUCAGAUUUUUCCGAUUGCUUUUGCUGUGGUUGAUACAGAAAAUGAUGAAUCUUGGGAAUGGUUUUUCAAGCAACUGAGCUGUGUCAUACCAGAUGAUGAGGGCCUAUCCAUUAUUUCAGAUAGGCACAAAUCAAUUGCGAAAGCAAUCAAGGUGGUUUAUCCGAAGGCGAGUAGAGGAAUUUGUACAUACCAUCUGUACAAAAAUAUAUUGGUCCGUUUUAAAGGUAAAGAAACAUUUGGAUUGGUUAAGAAGGCUGCGAAUGCAUUCAGACAUGUAGAUUUUCAAACCAUAUUCCAUCAGAUAGAAGUGGGGAAUCCUGAACUACAUGCAUAUCUAGAUAGGGCUGAUGUACGACUUUGGACACGUGUACAUUUCCCCGGUGAUAGGUAUAACUUGCUUACAAGCAAUAUUGCGGAAUCAAUGAACAAUGUGAUGUCACACGCCAGGAGUUUUCCUAUUACACAGUUGUUAGAAGAAAUAAGGUCCAUGAUGACUAAAUGGUUUUCAGAUCGGCGGAGUGAUGCGUUAAAAAUGACUACAUCUUUGACACGUGGUGUCGAGAAAAUUCUGCAGGUAUAUUCUCAUACUUUCAAUCAAUGUCAGUUAAACAAGUAUAUAUGUUUCACUAUUAACAAUGUUAUUCAUUUUACAGAGCCGCGUUGACUAUGCGAAGUUACUUGCUGUGCAAGAUAUAGAUGCACAACAAGUACAAGUGACAAGUGCAACAUCUCUCCACGUUGUAAAUUUGGUCGAUAAAAAGUGUACAUGUUGCAGGUUUGAUGUGGAGAAAUUGCCAUGUGCACACGCAAUUGCGGCGGCUGAGAACAGGAAAGUCUCUCGAAUUUCAAUGUACCAUUCGUAUUAUCACAAGAACUAUCUUUACAAUUCCUAUGCUAACGCCAUCAUGCCAAGGGAGUUUGCUAUACCUGUUCCUGAACAUGUAGCAACAACGGUUUGUUUACCACCCAUACCCAAACAACAACCGGGAAGGCCAAAGAAUUCGAGAAUUAAGUCAGCAUUGGAGAUUACUAUGGAAAAGAAAAAGCCAAAAAAAUUAUACACUUCUGGCAAUUGCAAUCAAGUUGGUCAUAAUCGUAAGACUUGUAAUCUUCAUGUUUAAUUUCUUUUUUCGUCAUUGACUAGUUAUUGUGGUGUAAGUCUACAGUUGAAUUCUUUAUCUUUUUCAUAUAAUACUUUGGUUAAAUUUUGAUAGAUUAUGUUUGUCAUGAAACGUUUGAAAGAUUAUGAAUCUUCCAUAAUUGACACUUAAAUGAGUAUUUAUAGUGGUGGAGUUCGCACUAGGUGAGGUGAAAAGGAAGUGUCCUGAAAUAUAUACACAAACCACAAAAUUUUUUGGUUCCGUACGUAUGAGAAUACUAUCAUGAACGGAAUAUAAAUCAAUAAAGAAGCACUAAAAGUCUGAAAAUAAGCAUGAAAAAGUCUGAAACAAGGUGACACUAUUUUAGUUCCUAGAAAUAAAGAACAAAAGACCUAUAAGUACGAGAUUACAUAAAUCAAAGUCACUCAUUCGAUGGACUCAUCCAUGAGACUAGGGAUCUUGAAACCUACACCACAAAGAUCAAGAUUAGAUGGUUUGGCUGCCUCUCUCACUUCAUCAAAUAGCUCUGCUGCAAGUUUAACACGUAUGGCAUCUAUGUUUUCAUCGCAAAGCCCAUCGAAUGAUUUCCCAAGAGCCAAACACUCGAUGUAUUUGAGUGUGUAGAUAGCACAAUCGCCGGGAUCUUUAUUCAAAGGUACCUUCUUUGUAAUCCUUUUCACGUCCAACAUUGCAUUACUCUUCUUACGUAUGUUGAUAGGUACGAAAGCACUCAUCAUGGCAGGGAUCAUCAACCGCAAAAACAUGCAUUGUUUCAUCAUUACAAGAUCAGUGGUCAAGUUACUGCUUUGAUACAUAAAGACACAACAUUUAAAAGAUCAAAAACUAACCUGCCCAUGCAGCUUCUUCUCGUUUUUAAUGAAUUCUGUUAGGUCGAUAUCCUUCCGAGUUGACUGCCAAUCAAGAAGUGGAAUACCAGUCAAGAUAGGCCUUCUCAACCCAUAACCCUCUCCUAAUCCAGGGAAACUCUCAUACACCCACAUAAGCAAAGCGUGAACGCAUCCUUUAAUAACAUAACCAUCUUUGUUAAAGUCAACUAUCUUAACCGAUUUAAGUAGACAUUCAAAAGCCACUCGUCCCCACGGAUAUUUCUCAAAACUCAUUGGAUCAAGAACUCUUAUAGCACUAGACAAAGGAAAUCUAGAUCCGUGGUGCACUCCAUGUAUUGCCACUGAUAAUAAACACAACCUACCCACCAUCAUCCUCUCAUUUAAGUCCCAUGCCUUGCUAAGAUCCAUCACAGUUCGCAACUCAUUGAACUUUGGACCUUCUGAGAUUGGUACUUUCAUUGCCUCCCAUAGCUCACGGUGAUCAGCUUCAAACUUUUUCGACGGGUCAAAUGGAUCGCAAUUCAGUCCUGUUAUAGCAGCAAACUCAUUUAAGGAGAACCGGACUGGUCUACCAUCAAUCAUAGACCAUAUCUCAUGAAAGUUAUCCACUUUCAACUGAUUUGUGAGGAAUAGAUGUACUUUCUUGGCAGCCCAUGUGUACUCUAGUUCAGCUAGCUUGAUAAACACACCUAGUGAUGAUUUCUCCAAUCCAUCCCACACAUCAAUACCUAAUCCUUCUCUGAUUUGACCAAUCUUGGACAGAUAACAAUUGUGGUUCAUGCUUCUAUGUUGCAAAGGUGAUUUUCCUUCUGCAUAUAGACGAGGAGGAUAUUUGAAGACAUUACUCGAAGACGCCAUUCCUGAAGAUUAUCAAAAUAAUAAAUCAGCAUAUAAGAGGAUUAAUACAAUCAGCUAAUAAACAAUUUAAAACAAAUCUGAUGCAAAACAAAUUACCAACUCAGCCCUUAUUCAUUCAAUUCCUAUAGAAAAAAGAUAUCAAAACUUAAGGAAACCGCUUGAUUAUAAUAUAUAAUGCCAGAAACAAUAGAAACAUAUCAUUACCAAUGAUUCAAGAAACUUUACACCGAUGAACUGCACAUCUAAGCCACGAGAACAAAGAUUAGCUUGAUUGAUCCAUUAUAUUUUUCAAAAUAAUUAACAUUUCUAUGAAGCUGUGACUCGUAAACCCCCAUUUCUUUUUAUUAAGGCAUGGAGCAUAUCAAUACAUAUCUAGCUGAAAUAAUAGAGGCACAUAUUGUAAGGAUCUGUUACUACUCAAAUGAUGACUAGUUAACCCACUCAAUCACUCUAAAUCCUUUCUUGUCCAUAUAUUUAAGAUACAGUUAAAAUGCCCCUUAGUACAUUUGCCAUCAUCUUCACGGAUUCAUGCACAUUUAUAUUUAUAUAAACUAUUAUGUUUACAAUGGCCAGUAUCAGAUAACAACAUAUAUGUAAUGUACCUAAUGCUAGUCAAGCGAUUUAAACCCUAAAAAUCUUAAAGCAGCAUAUAAAAGAAGAAUAGAAUCAGGUAAUCUGUUAGUAACUAAUGAAUUAAUCCAGAUUUUCUAAGACAACCUAUUCUCUAAAUUGGGACAAAAAAAGAUGGACACUAAUGAAUUAAUCGAAAAAAAUAUGUCAUUUAUGAUCCACAAAUCUAUCACUUACUCUCUAAAAAUGUGAAAAAAUAUGUCAUUUAAGAAUAUAAAUUCAGGACCUUAUGAAUUUUAAUCAAAUCAGUUAUUCAAGUUAAUCUUCAUAUCAAGAGAGUAUCUAAUCACAUAACAGAAAUACUAAAACUAAGAGGAAACAAGUAUACAAUCGUCAAAAACUGAGAUAUAAGUUUCAAUACUCAUAUGUGACUUAAUUUAUGCAAUGCAGCAAAAGAACAAUGAGAAAUCAACAAAAGUAGCUAUUCAAUCUGUAAAAAUGGUUAAUCACUUAGAUAAACUUCACAUUACCAGAAGGUAUGAGUGUUCACUAAAACUGAAUCAAUUUAAAUGGAUCAAUUUAAAUAUCAUCAAAACCAAAACACUUAAGAAACUACUUACUUUAUCCAAAAAUCUGACACUUACUCUCUAAAAUAGGACAAAACUAUGGCAACUACAAUCAAUUUUCAUAUGAAUAAAAUCGUAUUGGCAAGAAUUUUUUUUCUAAAACAAAUCCGAAGAAUUUGGCCACAUACCUUACGAAAAUUAUGAUGAACGAACUCACAAUGGCUACUGGAGAGUAAGAUCUGCAACAAUAAAUGAGUAACCAAUCAAAACAACAAAUCAUAGUCCAAAUUUGACCCCUAAAAGUCCAGAUUAAACUCACCGAUGUACAAGUGAGGAGAAAGACGUCGCCGAUGGAUGAAGAACAGCAACAGUGAUGCUAAUAGACCCACGGGAAAAGGAAGGAAUAGAGGACAAUGGGAACAGACUUUGGAAAUAGACCCACGGAUACUAAAGCGGCGGUGGCAAACAGAAUUGAGGAAUUUGGUGAGUCGCUGGAGAAGAAGUGGUGACUACUCAACCGAAGAAACCGUAAAAUAGAAGAACCAUCGGAGAAUCGGAAAAGUCCACCGCAACCACAACAAUUGGCGGCGGCUUCUGUGGCUAUUCACUUCGAAUCAGCGGUGGUAGUCAAUUGGCGGCGGAUUAGUGUCUUCGUCGGAGUUGGCGAUUUCAAUUGGCAGCGGAUUCGUGUAUUUGUCGGAGUCGGCGAACACAUGCAGGUUUCUGAGAGUGGUUUUGUCUGCUGAAACAGAGAAAAAAAAAGAUGAAGUCGACGAUUAAUAAAAAAAUUAGGGUUAAAGUGUUUUUCUGUUUUUUUUUUUUGUUUUUUGUUUGAAUUUUUUUUUAAGACUAAUAGAAUUAAAAUGGGUUUUUGGUAAUUCUACACAAAAUUUGUGUUAUUCUAGUAAACUCCAAAACUAGAGUGUUAAUCUAGUUAUUAAUCUCCAGAUUUGUGUCAAUCUGGGUAAUUUUCAGUUAUAUAUAUGCAUUAGAUUAUAUAUUAUACAUUAAAUAUACAACUGAAUAUACUUUUAAGAUUUUCUAAAUCUUUAACUUGAGAUAAAUAUUUCAAAUCUAUUGUGAUAAUUGCUUUUCCAAGUUCAAUGCUAAUGUCAGUCAAUAAUAAUUAUCUAUAAGUAAUAAUCACUUAUAGAUAAUAAUUAAAUUUUCACGUCUUUUAAGACUCAAAUGUUUCAAUGGGGAGAUAUAACUUCAACAACGAUUCCUUCGUCCCUGUUCACUAUCUUCGUCCCUGUUCACUAUCUUCCCUACAUAUAUUUCAAAAUUUCUCUUUGCUUCUCCACGGAAACCCUAAAUCAUCAAACAUUUUAUGUAAAAUCUAAAAGUUUCUUUAACCAUGGAACCUCAUCACUACCUAUCUGAUUUGAAUGUUCACUCAACCGCUGGUGAAUGGUAGGGUUGAGACCAGAAUGAUCUUGGCCGACGAAAAGGUAUAAAGUAACUUUUAGAUGAUUGUCUACUUUCACUUUUAUACAGAUAGUUUAUUUUGGGAUUGAAUUACUUAUGCAUGGAAAUUUAUAAUGAUUUUAGGCAAAUAGGAUCAACGCAACUAUUCCAAAUCGCUAUUACAACUGGAAUUUCCAGGCUUAUCUGAAACCAGGCCUAUGGUUUCGCCUGUCUGACUUUGAGGUUCUGCGUCCUCAAGAGAAGAAAACCAGAUAUUGUUGCUUCCCAGUUGUAAUCAAGUGUAUCGCUGACACUACUAUGUGGCCUAUUAGUGUUGUGUGCCCUUAUAGUUUCUAUGAUUUUGUUUAUCCAGAGACUGUUGAGUUUGCCCAGGAAGAUGAGAAAGAGUUUGUGACUGGUAAGGGAUUUUCUUCUCUUAUAUUCACUGUUAGCUGAUCUUAAUCUUACUAUAAACUAUGAUUUUGUGUUUAUAUCUGUUACUUAGACGCUAUUGGUGUUGUCAAGGCUGUGACAACUAUAAGAAAGUUCCCUUAUGUCUGUCGUCUGGGAGGGACAGAUUAUGAGUCUAGAUAUGUGGCGUUCAAGUUAGUGGACAUUGAGUAAGUUUCACUUCUAUGAAGUUUGUAUCAUGUGUUGUUAAUUAUCCUGUCAUCUUCAAUUGUUUUUUAACAUAAAAGUAUUGUUCGAACACCGUAUAGGGGUUAGGAUAUCAAGUGUUGUGCUGUUGGUAAGUGCUGUGAGUUGUUUGUGACCAAAUAUGCUCAACAGAUCAGUUCGGUUACUUACAAUUAUGAGCCUAUAGUUGCUGUUCUCCGGGGCUGGCGAAUCUCAGAUGUUUUUGGUAAGUUUUCCAUCAGGACAUGAGGCAUUGUAGGUUUAUCAUUUAAAGGUAGCAAAUUGCAUUUCUAUAUAUGUCUACUUGAUCCUUGAACUAACUAAACUAAGUACCGAUAAUUUUCUUUGUACUUAACUAGACAGCAUUUACAAUAUAUCUUCAGGUACAAAUGUUUUAAUGAGUGAAAAUGGUUGUUCCCGUAUCUACCUAAAUCCAAGGUUGCCUGAUGUAGAUAUCCCAAGAUACAUGUAGGUUUAUAUUACACAUAUGAACAUUAGACAGAAACAAGCUAUGGCUUAUCUUAAACUUACAUUUUGUUUAUUUGUCUACAGUCUUGAUUUCACUGAGAAGCAACGACAUGAUGCUGAGGAUGUGAUGAUGGAGGUGGUUGAAGAGAACUAGUAGAAGAAGAAGGUGUUUGGUGGAGGACCUAAUCCAACCUUGAUGUUUUUCUAUUUCAUGUUUAGGAUCGAACUCUGUUUUUUUAACUUGAAACAAUUGUUACUAUAUUAUGAUAAUAUCGGUUGGCUGAUAAUUAAAAUUGUUACAAUUGUCAUUAAACCGGUUUACAUAUAAACUCAAGACCUACACUCUUCCCCAUAGCCAUACAAUUGAGCAAAGAAUAACAGAAGCAACACCUACUGUCUUCAUAAUCUUCUUACUCAUCGCAUCCUCCAUCUUCUUAAAGUUUAUGUUGUGGAGCUUCAUAGUACCCAUCACUUCCAUCCUCAAAGCAUUGACAUCCUGUGCAACUAACUUACACUUCUCCUCCACCAUCCUAAUUUCUUGUAAGAGAGCUUCAUCAACCCAUUUGAACAAGUGAUCCUCAUUUUCCCUCUAUACACAUGGCAGGGAUCAAUACUCCAUCUACUUUUUCAAUUCAAUUCAACAAUUUGACUAAAUAGAAAAACGUACCUUCAUUGCAAUCACGCAUCGAUAGAACCUACGGUAAGGAUUCUCCUUCGUUUUCGAUGUGAAAGUUGUGAUAUUCUCUCCACACCAGCAUUUCGACGGGACACCAUGAGGAGAAAAACAUAUCGCCGAACUGGAAGCGGAUGAGUAGUAGUUUGUUGUGCUCAUCGUCUCUGAAAUUUCUGAAAUUUGGUUCGUUUGGGGAAGAGUUGUGGAAUAUGAACCCUAAACCCCAAUCGAAUUUAUUUUAUAUACAAGAAUGACGUCGUUUUUUUGUUUGUUUUGCGAAAUAAAGAGAAGAGUCAAAACGCCGUCGUUUUAACUCUCGGGUCAUGUGUUAUCUUACAGUUACUCUUACUCCUAAUUUGGUUUGAGUUUUCAACUAGUUAUAAUAUAACUGAUAUCUUCCACCCUAAUAAUAUAAGCAAAUUUGCGUAUAUUGGGAAGAGACUAGAUACAACGAUUCUACGAAUUGACGGAAUUGUUGAAACAUUUCUUUAUUCAUGUGGGUGGGCCCGAAUUCAGUUCUGGUCGGGUCAAACUAGUGUGAACACGACAAUUUAUAUUUUGUGGGGUCACUGAGAACUAUAUAUUGUACAUAGUUGUAUCUAGAUGUCUUGUUGUCCUCAUUCCUUCAUAGUUGAACAAAAUGAUAUUUGGUUAUUUUGAAGUUGAACCUUGAAAUCCAAACUAUUAAUCUAGUUGGUCACAUUAAAUUCCACAUUAUAUCCGUUUUUAAUCAGUUUUCAUAGGAAAAUAUUCACUAUAUCAUUGUUUCACUUCUUUUUGCAUCGAUAUAGGUAAUCAUGAACUAGUAUCUCCUUGUUACACAAAGAGUGAUUUGUGUAAAAACAAGUUAAUGAUCAUAUGAAAAUAAUAAAUAUUUAUAUAUUUAUAUUACAUUAUAUAUUAAAUAGUAGAUGUUCUAUGUUUAUAGAUUAAAAUUGUUUUUUUUUUUUCCAACAAAAGACUUUUAUUAUUUUCAAAGAGUAAUUACAAGGAUAUUAUGCAGAAUUACUGUAACACAAAUUAUUACAUACGAAGUUUAUGCGCCAUAUACUGAGAAAAGUACAGCAGAAGGGAGUUUGACGAUUAAAAUUGUUAUUAACGUUAAAAGAUUAUAAAUUCUAUUUUAUCUUUUAAAGAUUUUAAUUACAUAUAAAAUUAAGAAUUUAAACUCCUCUAAUUUGUACUAUGUGAACCAGGAAAAUAAAUCAUACAAAUAAACAUGGUAAACUAAGUACUUGGCCCAAUCGAACCAAAGAUUUAUACGGUUGGGAAAUUUCAAACAAAUUUUACAAAGUAGGCUUAGUUGUCCCGGUUGAACAAGGUACACCACCUCACAGUUGUCCUUGUUGAACCACGAAAUCCCGGACGUCUUAUUGGGCUUUUAAUAAUGUAUUAGUCUAUUAAUUAAUUGCACGCCACAAUAAGACCCGGCCCGUUAAGGCAUAAACCAUUCAUAAUAAGGUGAGUGUAACUGAAGAGACAACCCAAACGGCAAUUAUUUAGUUUGUAAUAAAUCGGUGGUUACGGUUCUUCGCCGGAAACACCAUUCAUAAUAAGGUGGUUACUGUUCUUCGCCGGAAACACAAUGGAUCAAAGUACUAUUUAUCAUUCUUCCUCCGCACCGAACUCUCCUGCUUCUGAACCUAGUACUCCCAUGCCGCCUAAUUCUCCCAAAUUUGACGUGCAGCGGUUUCAUCGGUGGACUGGGCGUUCGCAGCCAGAAGCGGGAUUCCCUCUGUCCGAACAAACGUCUCCAAGUGUGCAGCCUAUAUACCCCUAGGAUAGAGUCCCAAUCAACGGGAACGGACUGGAGUUUCAGCCGGCAGGAAGAGAUUUUGUCCCUGGGAAAAUUACUUAUCCAGAGACUUUCUUCGCUUGUUGCCCACGAAGUGUCUUCAAUAAAAACCAACAUUGGGUCGCUAGGGUAAGUGUCUCGAUCUUGAAAGUUAUGGUUUUUGUAACAUUGGUUAAUUGCGGUUUAGUUGUUUGAGUUGUACCCAAAAAGUUUAGAUUUUUAUGACAAUGGUUAAUUGAAUUUUAGUGAUCUGAUAUGUAACUAAAAAAUUAUUGUUUUUUUAACAAGUGUUAAUUGAAUUUUAGUUAUUUGAGAUGUAAAUCCAAAGUUAGGGUUUUUAUAACAUUGGGAUAUGCGUGUUAAUUGAAUUUUAGUUAUCUGAGAUGUAAAUCCAAAGUUAGUGUGGAUGUCGGAUUCACACACUCAAGUAUUUUUAUUAAGUAGGAAAGAUUAUUCUUGAGGGACAAAAAAUAAGAAUGCAAAAGGCUUGUGAAUUGUUACAAAAAUUGCUAUAGUAUUUCUUGCUCGAGAGAGAGAUCCCCUUUACAUGGCCAUUGGCCUCUAUACUUAUACAUAGAAAAAUGACAUUUAAAUGGCUAAUUAAGUACAAUUAUUCUCUCUUAAAUGUGUCCGUUUUGAUUAUUUGACUUUAAUGCUCAACGUUUGAAUUUGAGUUGACUCUGGUCUUUAUGGGCCUCGCCUUUUGGCCCAAGUGUCCUUGGACCGACUUAACCAUGACUUCGUCUCCGGACUCGUAUCGAGGUGCAAUCACUUCGAAUUCUCCUUAUGGUGGUAACCACUUCGAUUGUUCUUUUGACUUGUGGGUCUAGUGGGCUUUAUCCUUAAUGGGCCAUUACCCCGACUACGUGGCAAUCUUUGGUUGGUCCUGGACCUCUGGUGCGGGAUCCGACACCAACAAUUAGCCCCCCAAGUUCUUCGAAGUGCCAUUCCAAUUCGAAGGACUUUAAAUGCUUAAAUGACCAAAGAUUGCGCUCGAGAAUCUUUCUGAUUUCCCGCCGAAAAUCUCAUCACUCCUUUAAUUCCGGCACUAGCCAUUUUUAACCGAGUGACAUCUGUCAUCAUUAUGACCGCAUAGUAAUUAAUUACUAUUAAAACAGGAAAAAACCUUCCCACUUCCCACACAACUUCCAAGGCGGUUUCAUCAUUUAGCUUGUGUAAGGUAACUUCUUUUCACCAUCAUUUUCUUCUUUUACUUUUGUGCUUUAAUCAAAACUUCUCUCUACUUUUCUUCGCCGAACCUCUCUUCGCCGGAUCUUGAAUUUUUCAUUUUUCUCCGAUGACUUCCGAUUCUAAGAGACCUGAAUCUCCGUCUUACGAUGAGAGGCGCUCUAGCAAUGACGAAUGCACUCGUCCUAACGAUAUUGCCGGUCCUCAUUACAAAUCCACCUGUACUCUUCAAUCCCUUGAGCGAUUAAAGGGGCUUUGUCAAAUUCCUCCUGGAAUCAUAGCGGAGGCACAGAUAGCCGAUCCCACGGAAUCCCCGGAGAACCACCGCGACGGCUACUUUUGUGUUUACGAAAUCUACUUCAAGGGCUGCGGAUUGACCUUCCCCCUUCCCGAAGCCCUAGUUCGAUUCUUGGCGGCUCUUGAGAUUGCUUUACCUCAACUAACCCCCAAUCUCCUCCAAACCAUCCUCGGGAUUAUAACCGUUGCGGCGGAAGCUGGCUACGUCAUUGGAGUCCCCGAGCUGAAUGAACUCAUAAGUGUAAGGAGUUCAUCAAAGAAAACAGGGUACUUCUCGGCAUAUCCAAAUGCCAACAGGAACGUUAUUUCGCACCUCCCGAACAAAGAUGAAAACUGGCACCAUCCUUGGUUCCUGAUUAAGAAAACUCCUGCUUCAAUUGGAAAUCUUUCCGAUGUACUCCCAUCGAAGUGGUCUGCGAAGCCUGGUAGAAAUUAGGUCGUAUAUUCCUUCCUUGGUUGUUUUAUUUUUUACUGACCAAACUCGUUGUUUUCACUUCGCAGCUGUCAUUGCUUCGACUCUUCCGACUGAAGAAUUCGUCAAGUUCUUCAAAACAAUCCUUGAAGGGGAAACCCUUUGGAACUCUUUCACCCUCGAUCGGUUUGUCGAGGCCAACCGAAAACUCAGGAUGAGUCCUCCCAAUCUACUUCAUCGUCUUCCGCCUCCUCCCUCAACUCAGGGAAUGUCAGCUCGGGCCCUUACUGCCCAGCGUAAGAAACUCUCCAAGCCGAUAGCAGAGGCUUGUGAUGAAAACAAGGCGUUCCUUGCGGCCGCCAUUGACAAAAAAGACUACAGCAGGACCCUGCUGGUUGAUGAUAACAGCGCCGAGGAGCCAGAUACGUUGCUGCUUAUAGGUUAACACCUCGUCGCGAACGUCGUGACGAACGUUCUCCUCGGAGAGAGCAAUCUCCUCGUCGUGAUUCUCCUCGUCCUACCCGAGACGAUUUUAGCAAUGAACCACUUAAGAACUUAGUUCGCAGGAAGAGGGACAAGUCAUCCCGUAGUGACUCUUCUCCGCGAAGGGAGAAAUCAAGGGCCCGGACUGACCGUUCACCUCGAUCAUCCCCUCCCACUGAACCAAUGGGUCCUCCCCGACCUGUUGAUAUGUCUUCUUCUUCCCAGCCCGACAGCGAAAAGACUGCUCGGAGUGCAUCUCCUAAAAAGGGAGAUUCUGAAUAUCGAGAUGCUUCCUCGAGGUUAAAGCCUGCUCUUGUCCCUCAAGACAAAUCGCUUUCAGGUUUGGUGAUUUACACAUACUUAAACGUUUUUGUUUCUAUUAAGAUUCCAAUUUUUACAACUCCUCCUCCUUCGCAGCUAUGGAGAAAGAGGGCAGCGUCUUCCGAUGCUUCAAGACCCGAUCGGGUUCGAUUUUGCCAAACUUCGACAAGUGGCGCCCUGCGAUUCGUCAACGCUAUCUGCUUCAUGCUCAUCAUUCAUCUCGGGUUAGUUCCGCUUUAUUUUUCCGAUUGUGCUGCCGUUCAUCGAAAUGUCUCACCAUCUCGAUUUCAUGCAUAAUGGCAGGCUAACGGUGAGCUUAAUGACAUGAUUGAACAUUAUGAGGGGCUGGUCCUUGGUCGGGAAAAGGAGAUUGACGCGUGGAAGAAAAAACUUUCUGCUCUUGAGGCUGAACUAAGCUCUUCUCCCGGCUCCAAGCACGAUCUGGAGGACAAGGUCGAUAGUCUGACAUCCAAGCUGGCGAAGAUUAAGGGGGAGCUGCAGGACCAGUAUGACCAAAAUUUCAAACUCCAGGAUGAGCUUUCUGGUGUUCAGGGUAGGCUUCACGAAUCCGAAUCAACCGCCGAUACCCUGAAUAACCAACUUAUUGAGCUUAACGCGAAGUACAAGGCGAUUGCCAAAUUGCGUGAUUCCGAGUUGGCAAGGUUGGCAUCAAAAGCCAGAAAGGAAUUUAAGGGACGCGGGAUGGAUUUGAUCCAAGGGGCCGUCCGCUUCAUGCAGACCGAGAAAGCUAGGUCAGAUUUGGAAUCAGACAUCAAGGAGCAUGAGAGCAACCUGAUUCUGUUGGAUCAAAUCCAUGAAACAGAUUUCUCCGAGGAGCAAGAAAGGACCGAACUGUCGGCUAAUCUUUCUGAAAAGCGGAGUCGCUUGGCAGCUCUUCCCACUUCGACCUUCAACCCGCAGGACUUCGAGGAAUUCUUUACUGAAUCGCCUCCUAUAAGUGAAUCGGGUCUAGACUGGGCAGGUAACACUUGGCUCCUGAUUCUUACUACCUUAUGUUUUUUUUUUUUUUUUUAAAAAGAAAAUUGACUGGAACUGCCCUUCCCAGGCUCAAGUGAGACGGAAGAUGUCGUCCCACCUGAAGUCCCUGUGGCAGCGGAGGUCACCCCGGAGGAUGGUGGUACUGUGGAGGGCGGACCAGGAGCCCCAUCUGACCAAGCGCCAGUCAAAGAGGCGGAUGAAACUUCGACUGCCGAGCCGGAGUCCGAGGUGGCUGUUACUUCGUAGUGGCUGCGUCCACUUUAAAUUGGGAAUUAUUCCAUUUAUUUUUAAAACUUAAUUUCGAACUUGUUUUUGCCUAAGGAGGCUUUAUUAUUUCUUUUGAACAAGAUACUUGCAUGAGGAGGCUUUUAAACCUUUCUAGGUUUUGACCCCAAGGGGGUUUGGUUAAAAUUAUAUGCGGGUUUGCAAAGUCCGCUUUUAGCCCUUUGUGGCCUUGUGGUUAUGCUUUCGAAACUUUUAGGCUGAUCAGACCUUUCUCUUUAGAAUGCGAGAACUGAGCUCGGCUUAAAGCGAGUUCCCCACUUCGGGUUUAGUCAACUCGAUAAAUUUAUUGGGCUUGGGCCUUAGAAACUUUUGUAGUUAAUGCGACGGUUGCUCUUUCCCUUCUUAUUUCUUAAAAGUAGGAAAACGGCUCGUCUUUAAUGCAAUAACUGCCUUUUCUCGAUUUUCCAAAAAUGGUUUAAACCACUCGGGCACACUAUCAUUAUUGGAUUUAUGGUUCCAAGACAAACCCUAAACCAUUAUAAAUAAUGGUUUUUAGAAUCUUACUUGAGAAAUAUUACGAGAAUGGAAAACGAAAAAGUAGCCCCCAUUGAUCCCGGCAGCCCACUCUUCUUGUCCGGCGACGGCUUUGAACCGGCCGGCAUUCUUUUCCCUCACGCCGUCUUUCACUUUCCUUCAAAGGAGAAGAAAGAGGUUUGCGACUUUAUUGACAAGGUUAAUAUAUGUCGUCUUUGAUUAAAAGCUUUUUGUUUCAUCUUAUUCAUUCAUCUUUAUGCUAGGUUGCCGACAAACACCGUCGCUUGUGUGAAGAGAGGCAGCGGCUAGGCCUCAAAAGGCAAACACUCGAGGCUCGCAUUGCUCGGGUGGAGAGGAAGAUACGGGCUUUGGAAAGUGACCCCUUUCAAUGGGAAUGGCUGAACUUCGAUUCUGUUGCUGAGAUCCCGAAGAUGCUUCGGAUGUAUCUCCGUGCUAGAGGAGUUCCGGGUCCUGUGAAUGCUCCGGUCCAUACCAUUCCAUCUGGUAGCGAGGAAGAAGACGAAGAGGAGGCCAGCACCAGUCGGAAACGCGUUCGGGAUUGUUCCGAGGUGGACGCCAAGAACAAGGCGUUCACUUCGAAAACUAAAACGGCGAUGAAGGAGCCUGUUCCUGAGCCUCUUCCAUAAAUGUUCUCUAACCUUUCCACUCACUUUGAACUCAUAAUGGGCUUCGGCCCUUUUUUAUUUAUGGAAACAUUUGCAACUUUCCUUUCUCUUCAAAUAUUCUCGGAGAUGCGUCUUUUAAUGCAGGAUUGGUUUAAGGGCAUAAAUCUCGCCGCGAAUCACUCCAUUUCCGGGCUGAAUCUGCUGCUUGCUAGGGAUAUGAAGUCCCUAUAAAUUACAGCUUCAACUUCCCUUUACUUCUCACUAUUCUUCUUAUUUCUACAGAUAUGGAUUUUAACCUUCGAUGUUCGGAGUCUAUGCCGGACUUCUCUAGGAUCGGAAUGAUGGACGAAGAUGUUCCAGAUGUUCCAAGUAGACGAUCUUCUCCACUUCGCGGCUUUUUCAUAUCUCAGAUCCGAGCUCCAUGCGCUUUGAUCAAGAACCUUCCAGAUAGAGACCGGGAGAUUGCGAUGGCCUUUAUCAAAGCGCUCGCAAUUCAACACAGGAAGCUAUCGCUGGAAAAGAAAAAACUUCGGAAGAAGAUUUAUCGAAUGCAGCGCAGAGUCACUGCGAUAUCAAGGGAUCUUCACAUCCUUAGUUCUCACCCCGGAGAGUGGAUUGAGCUCGGAAUCUCCGAAUUUGCUCGUAUCCCGGAUUGUAUGAUGCCAGUUCUUGAUCUUGCUGGUCAAGGAGUUCAAGUGUUCUGCUCUCCGGGAGGGUUUUCCUAACUCGAAGUGUGCGAAGAUCGAUACUUUUUCUUGUUCGUUUGAAUAAAUGUUUUGCUUCCAAUCUCUUGUAUGUUCGCAUAGCCGAACCUUUACUUGCUUCAAUUGUUCGCUCGGUCGAACCCUUUCCUUUAAUACAGAAAUAAAACAAAUUUUUAUUAAUAGCUGAACUCGUUUCCGAGCUGCCUACGUACCCAUUUCGGGAUCAAGCCACACCGUAGUUCAUGUACAUAAAAAAUGCAUGUAGCUUUAAACAUAAAACUUCUUUAGGUUGAUCACAUUCCAAGGUCGCUUGACUGGCCUGUCUUCUAAGUCUUUCAAUCUAUAAACACCGUUCCGAACCACUUCGGUAAUAAUGUAAGGUCCUUCCCAAUUAAUACCGAGUUUACCGGCACCUUCUUCUUUUUUGUUAUCAAAGACACGCCUUAACACAUAAUCUCCCACGAAGAACGGCCUACUUUUAACUUUAGAAUUGUAAUAUCGGGCUGCUGCCUGCUGGUAAUUCUGAAUCCGAAUCAAAGCUUGAUCACGCCUUUCAUUUAUGGUAUCUAGUGAAUCAUUAAGCAUUGCUGAAUUUUCUUCCUCAUUUAAUGGUGCUUCUGUUCGGCGAAGUCCGGGCACGUUGAGUUCAGCUGGUACUACUGCCUCCAUGCCAUAAACCAAAGAGAAUGGAGUUUCUCGGUAGGUCGCCACCUUUAAAUCUCCCCAAAACUCUAUGUGGUCAACCGCCACUAUGUCCUCUACAUCAAUUUCCGCACAAUUCAAACCAGUUAUGUCUUCAUAUAUUCAUGAAGCGAAAACCUAAUUGGACUACCUUCAAUGAGACACCAAAUCUCAUAUGGCCUACUAAUUGCCAAUUGAUGAGUUAACAGGUGAUGCACAAGCUUUGCCCACCAUACAAAAGAACUGUCAGCAAGGUUCAACAAUACUCCCACUUUAGACUGAUCACGUAUCUGAGAGUAAGCAUCUUCCCCAAUCUUCUCUUUCAAUCUUGCUAAACUAUCCAAGGUGCAGUUAAUAUGCAUGCUCCUUCCCUUCAUCGGUGCUUUCCCUGCAGCAUAAAGUCUUUUGGGGUAGCUCUUCUUCGCAAUUACUGCACAAAGUACAACUUCAUUAUGUCUCUCUUUUAUAACUUUACUACAUAUACUUACAAAGAAACUCUAUCCCAUAUUUCUAUCAUUAGAUUAUCAACCCCGCCAAAUUCAAAUACAUAAUUUUUUACCUUCUUCUCCCAUUUCUUCACUCGCUUGAUCAAUUAAUCAAUCCACCUCUUUAUCCCAUCGGAACAUAAAUCACAAAACAGAACGAUUAGGUUUAAAAUUAUUCCAACAGCUAACUAUUUCAAAUCCAAAUCCCUCAAAAAUUAUUCCAACAGCUAACUAUCUCAAAUCCCUCAACAGCUAACUAAGAAAUUCUUACCACAUUCGCCGCCGUUAAUCGACGCCGUAUCUUCGCCGUAACCUCGCCGUCGCCAAUUGUACACAGAUCCGUCUGUAAAAAAUUAACGAUUUCUACUAUAAAAUCAUAGCAGUUUGAUACUUUUGCUAACAUAAUAGCAGAACAACUCAAACUCUUUAAUUGAAACACAACCGGAUAUCUUACCGGAAUUUCUCCCUCAGGCCCGACCGUUGUUCCCGACACAAAAACCAAACACAAACACUCUUUUCCACUUACUCACUCUUCUUAGUUAAUCUCGAUUAAUGGUUCUUUUUUUAAUUCUAAAUGGCAAACAUGUAUAUAAAAUAGUUAGAGAGGCUUAAAAGACUUUUGCCAACUUUUAAGUGUUAUUUGAGUAAGACCCCUGUGGAUGUCGGAUUCACACACUCAAGUAUUUUUAUUAAGUAGGAAAUAUUAUUCUUGAGGGACAAAAAAUAAGAAUGCAAAAGGCUUGUGAAUUGUUACAAAAAUUGCUAUAGUAUUUCUUGCUCGAGAGAGAGAUCCCCUUUACAUGGUCAUUGGCCUCUAUACUUAUACAUAGAAAAAUGACAUUUAAAUGGCUAAUUAAGUACAAUUAUUCUCUCUUAAAUGUGUCCGUUUUGAUUCUUUGACUUUAAUGCUCAACGUUUGAAUUUGAGUUGACUCUGGUCUUUAUGGGCCUCGCCUUUUGGCCCAAGUGUCCUUGGACCGACUUAACCAUGACUUCGUCUCCGGACUCGUAUCGAGGUGCAAUCACUUCGAAUUCUCCUUAUGGUGGUAACCACUUCGAUUGUUCUUUUGACUUGUGGGUCUAGUGGGCUUUAUCCUUAAUGGGCCAUUACCCCGACUACGUGGCAAUCUUUGGUUGGUCCUGGACCUCUGGUGCGGGAUCCGACACCAACAAUUAGCCCCCCAAGUUCUUCGAAGUGCCAUUCCAAUUCGAAGGACUUUAAAUGCUUAAAUGACCAAAGAUUGCGCUCGAGAAUCUUUCUGAUUUCCCGCCGAAAAUCUCAUCACUCCUUUAAUUCCGGCACUAGCCAUUUUUAACCGAGUGACAUCUGUCAUCAUUAUGACCGCAUAGUAAUUAAUUACUAUUAAAACAGGAAAAAACCUUCCCACUUCCCACACAACUUCCAAGGCGGUUUCAUCAUUUAGCUUGUGUAAGGUAACUUCUUUUCACCAUCAUUUUCUUCUUUUACUUUUGUGCUUUAAUCAAAACUUCUCUCUACUUUUCUUCGCCGAACCUCUCUUCGCCGGAUCUUGAAUUUUUCAUUUUUCUCCGAUGACUUCCGAUUCUAAGAGACCUGAAUCUCCGUCUUACGAUGAGAGGCGCUCUAGCAAUGACGAAUGCACUCGUCCUAACGAUAUUGCCGGUCCUCAUUACAAAUCCACCUGUACUCUUCAAUCUCUUGAGCGAUUAAAGGGGCUUUGUCAAAUUCCUCCUGGAAUCAUAGCGGAGGCACAGAUAGCCGAUCCCACGGAAUCCCCGGAGAACCACCGCGACGGCUACUUUUGUGUUUACGAAAUCUACUUCAAGGGCUGCGGAUUGACCUUCCCCCUUCCCGAAGCCCUAGUUCGAUUCUUGGCGGCUCUUGAGAUUGCUUUACCUCAACUAACCCCCAAUCUCCUCCAAACCAUCCUCGGGAUUAUAACCGUUGCGGCGGAAGCUGGCUACGUCAUUGGAGUCCCCGAGCUGAAUGAACUCAUAAGUGUAAGGAGUUCAUCAAAGAAAACAGGGUACUUCUCGGCGUAUCCAAAUGCCAACAGGAACGUUAUUUCGCACCUCCCGAACAAAGAUGAAAACUGGCACCAUCCUUGGUUCCUGAUUAAGAAAACUCCUGCUUCAAUUGGAAAUCUUUCCGAUGUACUCCCAUCGAAGUGGUCUGCGAAGCCUGGUAGAAAUUAGGUCGUAUAUUCCUUCCUUGGUUGUUUUUUUUACUGACCAAACUCGUUGUUUUCACUUCGCAGCUGUCAUCGCUUCGACUCUUCCGACUGAAGAAUUCGUCAAGUUCUUCAAAACAAUCCUUGAAGGGGAAACCCUUUGGAACUCUUUCACCCUCGAUCGGUUUGUCGAGGCCAACCGAAAACUCAGGAUGAGUCCUCCCAAUCUACUUCGUCGUCUUCCGCCUCCUCCCUCAACUCAGGGAAUGUCAGCUCGGACCCUUACUGCCCAGCGUAAGAAACUCUCCAAGCCGAUAGCAGAGGCUUGUGAUGAAAACAAGGCGUUCCUUGCGGCCGCCAUUGACAAAAAAGACUACAGCAGCACUACAAGAAAACACGCGUUUUGCGAUGGAAGGAUUCCUUGCUAAUCCCUCGCAAAACGACAUUCGCAAGGGAUUUGCGAGAAACAACAGUUCCUCGCAAUUCGUGUCUCGCAAAUCGGUUAACGUUGCAAUUCCCUCGCAAAUUUUGCUAGGAACCUUUUCCCUCACAAAACACGCGCAAUUUGCGAGGAAUUUUUACGGUAGCAAAUGUCUUGCAACUACAAUUCUUUUAAACAAUAGAUUUUUUAAUUUAAAUUAUGUUAUAUAUAUGCAUACUAUAUAUAUAUAUAUAUUAUUUUUAAUUUAAUCUAUUAAAUUUUUUACUAUUAUAUAUAAAACUAAAAUAUCAAACAUGAUUUUCUUUUUAGAUUAUUAGUUGUUAAUCAAAAUAUCAAAAUUAUUUGAUUAUUAAUUUUGAUUACAAUUAAUCAAUACAAACUUAAUUAGUGAAAAAAAUUAGAAAAUUAAAAAGCUUCAAAGCUUGCCCUCUGCUGCACCCCUCCGCCGUACUCCUCCACCCCGUUCUCCUUCGCAGCCAUUCUCCUCCGCUAACGCUCUCCUCUGUCACCGUUCCGCCGCCGUUCUCCUCCGCUGCCGCUCUCCUCUGUCACCGUCUCUAGCAAUAUACCCUUAAUCCCUAGAUUCCAAUUGUUUGUAGUCAAUAUUUACUAGAUCGAAAUCAGAAACACAAACAGAACCACAAAACUAUCUAAUAUGAAAUGGUGGUGGUGUUGAUGGUGAACGGCGACCGAACCUUUGAAAUGUGUUAUGGUGAACGACGGCCGAACCUUCCAGAUGUGGUGUGAGCGACGGCCGAACCUUCAAGAUGUGGUGGUCGUGAACGGCGAAAGCUUUUAGAUCUUGGGAAGAAGGUGAAAGAAUUAAGGAGAAGCCAUUGGUAGAGUUAAUUGAUUUGGGUUUGGAAAAUGAGAAAGCUUGAAGAAACAAACGAGACCAAGAAGAAGAAGGAGAAAAAGAAGGAGAAAAUUUGGUCCCUUGAUCUUUUGCUAUCAACGGUGGAAAAGUACAAUCCUUGUCUCAAUAUAUUAGCCAAUCAGAAACUCUCAAUAUUUUUUCCUCUUCUUAAUCAUUAUUUUAUUGAAAUAAACUGUAAUUUGGAUAUAUAAAAGGGAAAUUGUUAAAAAUGUCCCUUUUGGUGUGUCCCUUUUCAAAAAUGCCCCUUUUAGAUGUCUAUUUUAAAAAAUGCCCCUUUUUAAAUCUGAAAUUUUUAUAAAGUUUUAUUAGGUUUAUAAGUUACUUAUGAAUUGUAACUACUACUUGAAGACUCGAUCCAAGUAUUUAUAAGGUUUUAUAAGGUGUUUUUAAAGGUUUUACAAGUUAUUUUAAAGGAUUUUUAAGGUUUUUCAAAGGUUUUACAAGAUAUUUUAAAGGUUUUUAAAGGUAUUUAAAAUGUAUUUAUAAGGUAUUUAUAAAGUAUUUAUAAGAUUUUAGAUACAUAGAAAUGUAGUUUGUGUAUGUUUUAAUAAUGUUACAUACAUAUUUAGGUAAAUCUUAUAUUUUUAAGAACAUUUUUUAUAAAGUUUUAAAGAAGGGACAUUUUUUAAAAGUGGCAUUGAAAAAUGGACAUUUUCGCAAAAGCCCCUAUAUAAAAAGUUACAAAAAUGCAAAAAUAUUCUCUCAUGAAAAAUGAAAGAUUUAAUUUGAAUUUAAUUUUUUUUGAAGUGAUGGAUUAUACCUUUUUAGUAGAAAAUAAAUUCUUAGGGGGGUGUAUUGAAUUAAAGAUUUGAGAGGAUUUGGUGGAAUUUAGGAAAUUUUGGAUUUUGAGAAAGUUAAGUGAGUUGAAUGGUGGAAUUAUAAAAUAUUGGAUGAUUUGGUGAGAUUUUAUUUGAUGAGAUUUGGUGAUUUUAAAUAGAUAAUCUUGGAUGAUUUGGUGAGAUUUUUAAAACAAAAAAUAGAAAAAUUGGAUUUACAAAACAAAACACUGCGACAUUGGUUUACACAAAAAACAUAUUCUCUUUGCAACGUUGCUUUACAACAAAAUAGAAAAACUGGAUUCUCUCUGCAAUACGUUUGAAAAUAUGUUCAACGUCGUCUAUAGUAUAAAAAUAGAGAAUUCGUGGUGUGGUUGUGAAUUUGAGAAAGUUAAUGUCCAACGUCAUGGCUUCGUAACGCAAAUCGAUGGUCAAAUCAGGAAUUUCUGUAAUAGCUUCCCACACAUUCUCAGCUUUGUCUUCAGCUUCUUUUUCUUCAGUUUCUUUUUCCCAUCUUCUUUGUAUCAUGCCAAGAAUCUGAUUACCGAACUCUUGCACUGUGUUCACUUCAUCAAAAGCUUUGUUCGAAUUAAAUGCAUCAGUUCUAGCUUUCUUUCGUUGAGGAAGCUUUUCUAACCUGUUUUUCUCAAUUGAAGAGAAAACGUCGUGCACAGAUUUCUCAGCGUAUGGUAUUCUGUCCAUAUCAUCCAUUAUCCCGUCAUUCUCUCCAACUUGGUAAGAAUCUGCAUCAACGGUAUCGCCUAAACCCACAGCAUUAAGCCCAGUUGCAGUAUUAGAUCCAAAUAUCAUUCUUAAAUCUUCAAAAUCUUCAAAUGACUCAUUACGCAUAUUUGUUUUGUUUGGAUGAGCCUAUUUAAGAAAAAACAAAUCUAUAGUCAGUUUGUAUACAUAAGCAACACUAUUAUAUUCAUCAAGUUUAUGUUGUAAUUUUUUUACCUUCAAAUAGUCAUCCCAGACUUCAUCUCUAGCGGUGAAUUUUUUCGUUUCAGGAUCCCACCCAAACCCUGAACUAAAACGAAGAAGUUCCGCCAUGCUUUUGUACCUACCCUUCAAGAUCUUCAUCCUAUUUCGGUACUCACUGUAGGUUUUCUUAGCUCCAAGCUGUUUGUUUAUAGGUGGUAAUAUUCUUGUUUCCACCGUUAAUUUGUUAAACUUGCCAUUAGCAUCACGAAAACCAUGAUUGAUUGCGUCUACUAGCAGACGCAAUAACAUCUUGUGUUGAGGUUCAGACCAUUUUUUAUAUGGACCUUUGGCAUCUUGUGUAUCUUGUGUAUCUUGUGUAUCUUGUGUAUCUUCCAUUGUAGUGUCGGAACUGGCCAUACAAUAUAAAAAAAUAUGUAAAGCAGACAUUCUAAUUGUUAUAAAGCAAAACAGUUCUACAUAUGAUUUUUGAUAUAUCCCACAUUCCCACUAAACAAUUUCUAAACCCAAACAAUUCUACCAUAAACCAUAUCAUUCGAAGAACAAAGAUGGUACUUUCUAAUUGCAGCUAGCCGUAAACUAACAACAUCCAAUGUUUCUCACACCACAUUAAGAACGCACGUUUCAGUAUAUAUUAUUAUAUGAUCAAAGAGGAACAUCACCUAAAAGAGCAUGAAAGUAAUUAAAAUAGAAACAAAUUAACAAAAGAAAAUCAAGAGAAUACUCACUUUGACAGAAAAGAGAUACAGCUUGAAGUAUAUCGAUAGUAAUUGUAUAAGCUGCUAAGAAAAAGUUAUUGAUUGUGAGUAUUUAUACACCUAACAAGUAACCCUAAUAAAGCUAAACGUGAAAGCCCAUCAUAAUAUAUAAGAGCAGCCCAUAUCAUUUUUACGCAUCCACGAUUUCACUACUCAUAUACAAAAAUAAUAUAAGGAUCAGAUCCAUAGAUGAUACAAAAGAGUGACUUUUGUGUUUACCACCGGAUAAAGGAAAGGAAGUAGUGUAGAAUUUACUGCCGGAAAAAUCAAGGAUGAUCAGAUUAGAAGAUCCUGGUGAAGCAAUGAACUGUGUAAGAAAUUAGACCAGCCUUAUGGCCGUCGACCACCGUAAAUCAUGAGGAAAAUUGAAAUCCAUAAUUUUGGGUUGGGAAAUUCAACUGAAUUAACAAAUUUGAAAACUUACCCAGAUUGAAAAUGAUGAACAAAAAGAGAGACACGAACGAAAAUCUCCAAGCGAUGUCACAACCGAGAAGGAAGAGAAAAUGACUGUCUUGUUUUUGACGAUGAGAAUGAGGACAAUUUCUCUUUUCUUUUUUUUUUUAAUUUUGUUUAAAGAAAAUUCUUCAAAAAUAACACCUCCGAAGGUGUUAUUUUUUCAAUUGGAUUUUUUAUGUAAAAUUGUAUCCAAAGUCUCCCAAAAUCAAUGUCAUGAUUUUUUUAUUAAAAAAAAGUUGUGUUUUGAAUAACAGUUGAUUUAAAAUCAACUUUAGGAAUUAUUAUUUGAAUAACAGUUGAUUUGAUAUCAACUUUAGAAAUUGUUGUUUGAAUAACAUUGGAUUUGAGAAGAGAUUUGAAAAUCCCAAAUUCAAUAACAGGUGAUUUUACUAAAAUCCCAAAAAAAAUUAAAAUCCUACUUCCAAUACACCCCCCUUAGAUUAGAUUUUUGGUGUUUUAUGUUAAAAAAAUUACUAGAUUUAAUACUUUUAAGGGUUAAUUAAAUUUUUUAAAAUAUCUUGAUGAAUUUGCAAAGUCAUUAAUUUGCUGAUAUAUUUCAUCACUUAUUAUCAACUUUGGUUUUAUAGUUUGUGAGUUUAAUUUUGAUUUUUUUGAAAACUUUCAUUUUUCUAAGUAUUGGAUUUUAGUUUUGAAAAAAAAUAAAAUAACAUAUAUAUAAAAUUAAUUAAGUUGUUUGUGAAGAGUUAUAUUUGGUUAAUAUAUAGUUGUUGACAAAUAUAUUGUAGUGUAGGGUUUGGGGUUAAGGUUUGAGGUAUAGGGUUUGGAGUUAAGGUUUAAGAUUUGGGGUUAGGGUUUGAAAAAAUAUUGGACCUGAAAAACUAUAAUGUUUUUAUAAGUGUUGGAUCUUAGAUUUUGGGUAUAUUAUUGUAACUAGAUUUUGUUUUUAGAGUUUAUGGUUUUAGGAUUUGUGUUUAAAAUAUUUUGGAAGGCAACUUUAAAAUUGUUUCUAAUUUUUUUAGGAAUUUUGCGAGGGAAUUGCAAGAGGCCGUAGCAAAUCCCUCGUAAAUGGUUUAGGGUAUAAGGUUUAGUGAUGCAUUAUUGAGAAUUGUGCGAAAGAUUUGAGAGUAAUGAGAUAGAUUUUUAAAUCAAAUCAUCCCUCGCAAAGUCUUCAUUAGGAUUUUUAAAAAACACAAUGACAUGCUUAAAUAUUAUUAAGCAUGUCUUAUUCAUUUUCAUUUUCCUAUUUCUAGUAAGUCCCUCAGCAAAAAAAAACAUGACUAAAUAUCUUAAAUAAAUUAGGAUUUAGGGUAAAGAUUUGCGAGGGAAGUGCUACGAAAGCCAUGCAAUUCCCUCGCAAACUCUUGAUUUAGGGUUUAGUUUUGCUAGGGAAUUACUAGUAUCCUUCGCAAAACCCUCGCAAAAUAGAAUCAAUUUGAAAAAAAUAACAAAACACUACUAAAAAUCAUUCGGAUUCAUUUUUUUGAAUCAUUAGGAAGUUAAUUAUCUACAUUAGAAUCUACUUUCUCAUCAUAUACUUCGAAUUCGUCCGAAUGUGCAUUUUUCUCAAAUACGUCAAUGAUGAUCUUAUGUUUUUAUAUAAUAUGAAUCAAUGUUUAUAACAUUUUCAAAAUAAAAUGUUAAUAUUGAAACCUAUACAACAUUUUUUUAUGCAUCACCAUAUAUUCAACUUGUCUGAUUAUAUGGUCUCCUAGAAUCACAUUUAUAAAUAAAAAUCAAAGAUCGCAAAACACUUUUAUGUAUUUUAGGGUUUAGGGUAAAGAUUUGCGAGGUAUGUGCGGGAGAAUUGCGACAGAAUAUAUUGUUCCUCGCAAAGUACUCGUAAGUCCCUCGCAAUUUUGCGAGGAAACUUUCCCUCGCAAAUUUUGCGACAGAAGUGCGACGCGCGUCAUUUUCGUAGCAAAUUACUUGCAAUUCCCUCGCAAAUUUGCGAGGGAUGGUUUCCCUCGCAAAGUUGCCUCGCAAAACGACUGUUUUCUUAUAGUGCAGGACCCUGCUGGUUGAUGAUAACAGCGCCGAGGGAGCCAGAUCCGUUGCUGCUUAUAGGUUAACACCUCGUCGCGAACGUCGUGACGAACGUUCUCCUCGGAGAGAGCGAUCUCCUCGUCCUACCCGAGACGAUUUUAGCAAUGAACCACUUAAGAACUUGGUUCGCAGGAAGAGGGACAAGUCAUCCCGUAGUGACUCUUCUCCGCGAAGGGAGAAAUCAAGGGCCCGGACUGACCGUUCACCUCGAUCAUCCCCUCCCACUGAACCAAUGGGUCCUCCCCGACCUGUUGUAUGUCUUCAUCUUCCCAGCCCGACAGCGAAAAGACUGCUCGGAGUGCAUCUCCUAAAAAGGGAGAUUCUGAAUCUCGAGAUGCUUCCUCGAGGUUAAAGCCUGCUCUUGUCCCUCAAGUCAAAUCGCUUUCAGGUUUGGUGAUUUACACAUACUUAAACGUUUUUGUUUCUAUUAAGAUUCCAAUUUUUACAACUCCUCCUCCUUCGCAGCUAUGGAGAAAGAGGGCAGCGUCUUCCGAUGCUUCAAGACCCGAUCGGGUUCGAUUUUGCCAGACUUCGACAAGUGGCGCCCUGCGAUUCGUGAACGCUAUCUGCUUCAUGCUCAUCAUUCAUCUCGGGUUAGUUCCGCUUUGUUUUUCCGAUUGUGCUGCCGUUCAUCAAAAUGUCUCACCAUCUCGAUUUCAUGCAUAAUGGCAGGCUAACGGUGAGCUUAAUGACAUGAUUGAACAUUAUGAGGGGCUGGUCCUUGGUCGGGAAAAGGAGAUUGACGCGUGGAAGAAAAAACUUUCUGCUCUUGAGGCUGAACUAAGCUCUUCUACCGGCUCCAAGCACGAUCUGGAGGACAAGGUCGAUAGUCUGACAUCCGAGCUGGCGAAGAUUAAGGGGGAGCUGUAGGACCAGUAUGACCAAAAUUUCAAACUCCAGGAUGAGCUUUCUGGUGUUCAGGGUAGGCUUCACGAAUCCGAAUCAACCGCUGAUACCCUGAAUAACCAACUUAUUGAGCAUAACGCGAAGUACAAGGCGAUUGCCAAAUUGCGUGAUUCCGAGUUGGCAAGGUCGGCAUCGAAAGCCAGAAAGGAAGUUAAGGGACGCGGGAUGGAGUUGAUCCAAGGGGCCGUCCGCUUCAUGCAGAUCGAGAAAGCUAGGUUAGAUUUGGAAUCAGACAUCAAGGAGCAUGAGAGCAACCUGAUUCUGUUGGAUCAAAUCCAUGAAACAGAUUUCUCCGAGGAGCAAGAAAGGACCGAACUGUCGGCUAAUCUUUCUGAAAAGCGGAGUCGCUUGGCAGCUCUUCCCACUUCGACCUUCAACCCGCAGGACUUAGAGGAAUUCUUUACUGAAUCGCCUCCUAUAAGUGAAUCGGGUCUAGACUGGGCAGGUAACACUUGGCUCCUGAUUCUUACUACCUUAUGUUUUUUUUUUUAAAAAAAAGAAAAUUGACUGGAACUGCCCUUCCCAGGCUCAAGUGAGACGGAAGAUGUCGUCCCACCUGAAGUCCCUGUGGCAGCGGAGGUCACCCCGGAGGAUGGUGGUACUGUGGAGGGCGGACCAGGAGCCCCAUCUGACCAAGCGCCAGUCAAAGAGGCGGAUGAAACUUCGACUGCCGAGCCGGAGUCCGAGGUGGCUGUUACUUCGUAGUGGCUGCGUCCACUUUAAAUUGGGAAUUGUCCCAUUUAUUUUUAAAACUUAAUUUCGAACUUAUUUUUGCCUAAGGAGGCUUUAUUAUUUCUUUUGAACAAGAUACUUGCCUGAUGAGGCUUUUAAACCUUUCUAGGUUUUGACCCCAAGGGGGUUUGGUUAAAAUUAUAUGCGGGUUUGCAAAGUCCACUUUUAACCCUUUGUGGCCUUGUGGUUAUGCUUUCGAGACUUUUAGGCUGAUCAGACCUUUCUCUUUAGAAUGCGAGAACUGAGCUCGGCUUAAAGCGAGUUCCCCACUUCGGGUUUAGUCAACUCGAUAAAUUUAUUGGGCUUGGGCCUUAGAAACUUUUGUAGUUAAUGCGACGGUUGCUCUUUCCCUUCUUAUUUCUUAAAAGUAGGAAAACGGCUCGUCUUUAAUGCAAUAACUGCCUUUUCUCGAUUUUCCAAAAAUGGUUUAAACCACUCGGGCACACUAUCAUUAUUGGAUUUAUGGUCCCAAGACAAACCUUAAACCAUUAUAAAUAAAGGCUUACCUACCUCUAAGCUUUCUUUAAAUACGAUUUUAGAAUCUUACUUGAGAAAUAUUACGAGAAUGGAAAACGAAAAAGUAGCCCCCAUUGAUCCCGGCAGCCCACUCUUCUUGUCCGGCGACGGCUUUAAACCGGCCGGCGUUCUUUUCCCUCACGCCGUCUUUAACUUUCAUUCAAAGGAGAAGAAAGAGGUUUGCGACUUUAUUGACAAGGUUAAUAUCUGUCGUCUUUGAUUAAAAGCUUUUUGUUUCAUCUUAUUCAUUCAUCUUUAUGCUAGGUUGCCGACAAACACCGUCGCUUGUGUGAAGAGAGGCAGCGGCUAGGCCUCAAAAGGCAAACACUCGAGGCUCGCAUUGCUCGGGUGGAGAGGAAGAUACGGGCUUUGGAAAGUGACCCCUUUCAAUGGGAAUGGCAGAACUUCGAUUCUGUUGCUGAGAUCCCGAAGAUGCUUCAGAUGUAUCUCCGUGCUAGAGGAGUUCCGGGUCCUGUGAAUGCUCCGGUCCAUACCGUUCCAUCUGGUAGCGAGGAAGAAGACAAAGAGGAGGCCAGCACCAGUCGGAAACGCGUUCGGGAUUGUUCCGAGGUGGACGCCAAGAACAAGGCGUCCACUUCGAAAACUAAAACGGCGAUGAAGGAGCCUGUUCCUGAGCCUCUUCCAUAAAUUUUCUCUAACCUUUCCACUCACUUUGAACUCAUAAUGGGCUUCGGCCCUUUUUUAUUUAUGGAAACAUUUGCAACUUUCCUUUCUCUUCAAAUAUUCUCGGAGAUACGUCUUUUAAUGCAGGAUUGGUUUAAGGGCAUAAAUCUCGCCGCGAAUCACUCCAUUUCCGGGCUGAAUCUGCUGCUUGCUAGGGAUAUGAAGUCACUAUAAAUUACAGCUUCAACUUCCCUUUACUUCUCACUAUUCUUCUUACUUCUGCAGAUAUGGAUUUUAACCUUCGAUGUUCGGAGUCUAUGCCGGACUUCUCUUGGAUCGGAAUGAUGGACGAAGAUGUUCCAGAUGUUCCAAGUAGACGAUCUUCUCCACUUCGCGGCUUUUUCAGAUCUCAGAUCCGAGCUCCAUGCGCUUUGAUCAAGAACCUUCCAGAUAGAGACCGGGAGAUUGCGAUGGCCUUUAUCAAAGCGCUCGCAAUUCAACACAGGAAGCUAUCGCUGGAAAAGAAAAAACUUCGGAAGAAGAUUUAUCGAAUGCAGCGCAGAGUCACUGCGAUAUCAAGGGAUCUUCACAUCCUUAGUUCUCAUCCCGGAGAGUGGAUUGAGCUCGGAAUCUCCGAAUUUGCUCGUAUCCCGGAUUGUAUGAUGCCAGUUCUUGAUCUUGCUGGUCAAGGAGUUCAAGUGUUCUGCUCUCCGGGAGGGUUUUCCUAACUCGAAGUGUGCGAAGAUCGACACUUUGUCUUGUUCGUUUGAAUAAAUGUUUUGCUUCCAAUCUCUUGUAUGUUCGCAUAGCCGAACCUUUACUUGCUUCAAUUGUUCGCUCGGUCGAACCCUUUCCUUUAAUACAGAAAUAAAACAAAUUUUUAUUAAUAGCUGAACUCGUUUCCGAGCUGCCUACGUACCCAUUUCGGGAUCAAGCCACACCGUAGUUCAUGUAUAUAAAAAAUGCAUGUAGCUUUAAACAUAAAACUUCUUUAGGUUGAUCACAUUCCAAGGUCGCUUGACUGGCAUGUCUUCUAAGUCUUUCAAUCUAUAAACACCGUUCCGAACCACUUCGGUAAUAAUGUAAGGUCCUUCCCAAUUAAUACCGAGUUUACCGGCACCUUCUUCUUUUUUGUUAUCAAAGACACGCCUUAACACAUAAUCUCCCACGAAGAACGGCCUACUUUUAACUUUAGAAUUGUAAUAUCGGGCUGCUGCCUGCUGGUAAUUCUGAAUCCGAAUCAAAGCUUGAUCACGCCUUUCAUUUAUGGUAUCUAGUGAAUCAUUAAGCAUUGCUGAAUUUUCUUCCUUAUUUAAUGGUGCUUCUGUUCGGCGAAGUCUGGGCACGUUGAGUUCAGCUGGUACUACUGCCUCCAUGCCAUAAACCAAAGAGAAUGGAGUUUCUCCGGUAGGUCGCCUAGGGGUUGUACGAUAGGCCCAUAGGACGGGUUGGAGUUCUUCGUACCAUCCUCCCUUUAGGUGAUUCAAACGUUUCUUGAGAUUGCUCAAUAUCGUCUUGUUCGCGGCUUCAGCUUGACCGUUUCCUUGCGGAUAUCGUGGAGUAGAGUAACUGACUUUGAUUCCCCAGUCCGCACAAAAAGCAUCAAACUCUUGUGAAAUGAAUUGUGGCCCGUUAUCGGUGACUAUUUCAUACGGAACUCCAUGUCGACAUAUAAUAUUCUUCCAAAUGAAAGUCUUUACCGCCGAAUCCUUGAUGCCAACAUAUGCCUCAGCUUCAAUCCAUUUCGAAAAGUAGUCCGUCAAGACCAAAAGGUAUUGUACACCUCGAGUUGAUAUGUGCAAUGGUCCAAUGAUGUCCAUUGACCACCUCAUAACGGGUACGAGGCGGAGAUGGAAGAGAAUAACUCCGAAGGUUGAUGGAUCAAUGGUGCAUGGAGUUGGCAGCGCUUACAUCUUUGGGCAAAUUUAACGCAAUCCGUGAUCAUAGUGGGCCAAUAGUAUCCCAUUCUUUUAACUUUAAAAGCCAUAGCUCUUCCUGAUGAAUGACUCCCACAUAAUCCUUCAUGCACUUCGCUCAUGACGAUUUCGACUUCGGGCCCAAAAAUGCAUAAUAGGUAAGGGUCACUGACACCUCGUUUAUAUAACGCAUCCUUUGAUAGACAAAAUUUCGCGCUAACGAUUUUCAUUUUCCUGGCCUGCCACUUAUUCUUUGGGAGCUCGCCUGUCAUGAUGUAGUGCUUUAUUGGCUCCCUCCAGUCAGCCCCCCAGUCUUUAGCCGGAAUUUGGUCAACCUUGUGAAAUACUCGUGGCUCUGGCUCGGGAUGUUCGUUUGGUUCAAGAACAUCCUCCUCGAUUAACAGCUCGGUUUCUAAUAUCGUUUCUGGAAUCACAUCUUCUGCUAAGACAACGGGUUCCUUGUUAGAUGUGUUUGAUCCCUUUGACUUCCUCCGUUUGUUAGGUGGCGGUUCGAUCUCUGGUUCGCCACGGUCACGUGCCGCUGCUCGAGACCUUGUAAUGACGAGGGUUUCUUUGUUGUCUUGAAUGCUUCGCUCCGAAAUGCAUUCCACUGGAAUAACUCUUUUCAACUCAGGAUCUGAUGUUGACGCCAAUGCGGCAAUUACGUCCGCAGUUGUAUUCUCACCCCGAGGUAUGCGGAUUAAUUCGAAUUUCGAGAAAUUUUUAGAUAGAUCCUUCACCACUUCGAGGUAUGCUUCCAUUCUUGAGUCUUUGGCUUCAUAGUCUCCAUUAAACUGAUUAACUACUAAUUGCGAAUCACAAUAAGCCACUAUUUCCUUAGCUCCAACUCCUUGUGCCAAUCGAAGUCCGGCAAUCAGGGCUUCAUAUUCUGCCUCAUUAUUGGAGGCAUUGAAUAACAAUCGGAAUGACUGUUCUAGAAUUUCUGAUGUUGGAGACUCCAACUUGAUUCCCACUCCGGAUCCUUGCUUUGUUGAAGACCCAUCUACAUGUAAUUUCCAAGUUUGGUUCUCCGGUUGCUCUAUCGUUCCAGGUAUUGGUAUCUCGGUCAAGAAGUCUACUAAAACCUGAGCCUUCAUACUGAUCCGGCUUUUGAAUUCUAUAUCGUACUCGCUUAAUUCCACCGCCCAUUUCGCUAAACGUCCGGACUGACUUGGACUAUGAAGUAUUGUUCGGAGUGGCUGGUUGGUUAAUACUUCAACCGGAUGGGAUUGAAAAUAUGGGCGCAGCUUCCGAGCCGAAGUUACCACCGCGAGUGCGAGUUUUUCCAUCAUUGUGUAUCUGGUUUCCGGAUCUAUCAUUGACUUACUUACGUAAUAAAUUGGUUUUUGUUUCCCGCGGUCCUCCCGAACCAAGACUCCACUAACCGCAUGGUUUGAAACCGACACGUACAAAUAAAGUUUUUCAUCCGCUUCUGGUUUGGAGAGUAUCGGUGGAGUGGUUAAGUAUGCCUUAAGCUGCCCAAAAGCUUCUUCACACUUCUCGUCCCAAAGGAAUCCUUUGUUUCCUUUUAGAAUUUGGUAGAAAGGUAACGACUUAUCUGUUGAUCUUGAGAUAAAACGAUUCAAAGCCGCGAUCCGCCCAGUCAACCGUUGUACUUCCUUGAAGUUUCUUGGAGAUGGCAUAUUUAGAAAAGCGUUAAUUUGAUUUGGAUUGGCUUCAAUCCCUCUUUCUGUCACAAUAUAGCCAAGAAAUUCUCCGGAUGGGACUCCGAAUGUGCACUUCGCCGGGUUCAGCUUCAUUUGAUAUUUAUUGAGAAUAUCAAAACAUUCCUCUAAAUGCUUAAUGUGAUCUUCUUUCUUUAAUGAUUUAACCAACAUAUCAUCUAUGUAGACUUCCAUGGUCUUCCCGAGAUGAUUAUGGAACAUUUUGUUAACUAACCGUUGAUAAGUUGCUCCUACAUUUUUCAAACCAAAAGGCAUUACCUUGUAACAAUAGAUACCUCUAUCAGUGAUAAAUGACGUUUUUUCUUGGUCUUCGGGGUUCAUCAUUAUUUGAUUAUAACCCGAGAAGGCGUCCAUGAAUGUUAACAGCUCGUUCCCAGCGGUGGACUCUACAAGUCGAUCUAUAUGUGGGAGCGGGAAACUGUCUUUGGGACAUGCUUUAUUGAGGUCUGUGAAGUCGAUGCAAACCCUAUCUUUCCCAUUCUUCUUCUUGACAACGACAGUGUUUGCUACCCAUUCCGGAUAUUGCACUUCUCUUAUGGACCCUAUCUUCAAAAGUUUAUCCACUUCGUCAUUUACUAUUUUUGCUCGCUCCACUCCAAGCUUUCUUCUUUUUUUGUUUCACCGGUAUGAAGCUCGGAUCCACGUUUAGUUCAUGACAAAUUAUACUUGGAUUUAUGCCAGGCAUGUCCGCUGCUGACCACGCAAACGAUGUUUUGUUUUUCCUCAAGAGUUCGAUCAAAGCUUCUUUUAUUUGGCCAGUCAAAGUUGCCCCAAUUCGAAUUUUCCGGUCCGGCUUGUCUUCUUCCAACACCACUUCGAUUACUACAUCGUCUUUCUUCUGCCCGCUAGGAAAUUUUGUUCCUAGUCCCUCUUUUGCGGGCUUCGUUAAUUGCUAUUGAAUCUUCAUACGGUGGCUAGCUAGAUAACACGUCCGUGAAGCUUCUUGAUCUCCCCGAAUUGUUUCCACUCCUCUUGGUGUUGGAAAUUUGAUACAUUGAUGAUAUGUAGAGGGGACUGCUUUCAUUUGAUAAAUCCAGGGAGUCCCGAGGAUGAUGUUGUAAGCUGCGGGCUUAUCGAAGACAACGAAGUCCACGAUCUUCGAUACCUUUUUGGCAAGGACCGGUAGCUUGAUUGUCCCGAGAGACAUGGCUGACUCACUUGUGAAUGCAACUAAUACAGCCGGAGGCCCCACUAUGUCCGCCCGACUAAUUCCCAUUCUUUCUAAAGUACUUAAAAAGAUCAAGUCGACCGAACUGCCUGUAUCUAUAAGGAUCCUUGAUACUUCGAAGUUGGCAACGUCAAGGGUAAUGACUAGAGCAUCAUCAUGAGGUCUUUCGAGGUGCCGCGUUUCUUCUUCAUUAAAUGAUAUUGAUGCACCUUGAAAAUCGACUUCUUCGCUCAAGCUUGCUUUGAGUAGGACAUUUCGUCUAUGUUUCUUGAUGGAACUUAUCCAAUCUCGACAAAAUUUGGAACCUCCUAGAAUAACAUUGAUCUUACCCUUAGAAUUCCUUGGUUCUUCCUCGUUGGUUAACCUUGGUCUUUUGGAAUUUUGAUCUUUGGGAUUUUCCUUUGCUUCGUGGUAUUCCUUCACAAAAUCUUUUAUAUCGAAUUUGGAAAGAUCUCCACUGGCCCAAAGCUCUGCGAGGUGCCUUUUAAGAACGCUACAAUCCUUGGUUAAAUGUCCGGUCACUUUAUGAAUGUCGCAAUAUAAACUUUCAUCACGGACCCAAGUGUUUGAUCUUCCUUUCCCUUGGAAUUGCUUUCUGAUGGUACUGUUGAAGGGUUGCGACCCAAAUUUCUUUGGUCCUUUGUUCUUUUUUGGGUUCGAACUUCUUGGUAGGGACGGUGAUUGCUGGCUUCUCUUGCUUAUUUCUUUUGGCGAAAUUUUCUUUUUCGUCCUCUACCUCCAUCCAGUUGUUUGCGCGGAAGAGUGCAUCCUGAAUUAUGUCUGGUUUAUGAAGUAUUAAAUCUUCUUUAAAUCUUGAAUCAUGUCGCAAUCCUUUUCGUAAGGCAGAUAAAGCUGAUUGUUGUGAGAUUCUUGGGAGCUUUGACAGCACUCCUUUGAACUUGGUGAUGAAAACUCGAAGUGAUUCAUUUGAUCCUUGUGAUAAGUUCCAAAGAUCGGCAUCCGAAACACUUUUAUCCAUAAGGACUUUAAGAAUACAGCUGAUAGCUCGUCGAAAUUGCUGAUCGAACCUGGCUCUAAUUGGGUGAACCACAUUAAAGCUUGGCCGCAUAGAUUUUCCGAAAAAGCUUGCAGUAACCUGCAUCCUCAUCAGCUUCAUCCAAUUCGACUCUUCCAGCAGCGAUCAGAAAAGCUGCGAGAUAGCUCUUUGGAUCCUCCAUUCCGCUGUAAGGGUCCAACUUGAGCUUCCGGGAAUCUUUGAUUCUCAAACUCGCAAUUCUCGAGAUGAAAGGUGUUCGCCUAGCUUCUUCAAUGACUCGAUUGAUAUCCGGCUCCGAACUUGUAGCCUGAUGGAAUUUUGACUUCAUUUCUUUUAGUUCUUGGCUAACCUUCCUCACAGUCUCGAACUGGUCGAGGUUUUCCUGCUCGUAUUGAUCUGCAAGUUGAGCUUCAUCUUCGAGCUGUGCCUCUCCAUCCAGUGGUUGAACUACAUUAUUAGUAGUACCAGGAGUUGUUUGUCCGCUGGUUUCAUUUCGCGCAACGGAACUUGGCGAGUUGAGUAUCCUCCUUCGGAUUCCCACAGGAUUUCCUGCACUUAAAGAGCGAAUACGAGUUUGUAUAGUAUUGACAUUUUGACUAAGAGAUACCUGGGAUGUUUGCAACGUAUCGACGGCCUUUUCCACAUCCGAGAACUUUUGUGAUAUGUCCGACAUGGUUUGCUGCAUAGCUUUGAGGGUUUCGGCCAAUGAUGUCUCACCGGCGUCUCCUCCGGACAUUGCUGCUUAUCUCGGGAAUGUAGUAAAGAAAAAUCUGACCACUCAAGAAUCCUCGAUUCCCCACAGACGGCGCCAAAAUGUGGAUGUCGGAUUCACACACUCAAGUAUUUUUAUUAAGUAGGAAAGAUUAUUCUUGAGGGACAAAAAAUAAGAAUGCAAAAGGCUUGUGAAUUGUUACAAAAAUUGCUAUAGUAUUUCUUGCUCGAGAGAGAGAUCCCCUUUACAUGGCCAUUGGCCUCUAUACUUAUACAUAGAAAAAUGACAUUUAAAUGGCUAAUUAAGUACAAUUAUUCUCUCUUAAAUGUGUCCGUUUUGAUUCUUUGACUUUAAUGCUCAACGUUUGAAUUUGAGUUGACUCUGGUCUUUAUGGGCCUCGCCUUUUGGCCCAAGUGUCCUUGGACCGACUUAACCAUGACUUCGUCUCCGGACUCGUAUCGAGGUGCAAUCACUUCGAAUUCUCCUUAUGGUGGUAACCACUUCGAUUGUUCUUUUGACUUGUGGGUCUAGUGGGCUUUAUCCUUAAUGGGCCAUUACCCCGACUACGUGGCAAUCUUUGGUUGGUCCUGGACCUCUGGUGCGGGAUCCGACACCAACAACCCACCUCCACGGGUGUUAUCUCAGUAAUUAAGUCACUUUUAAGGUAUAUUUGAGCACAUUUUCGACUUUACUUUCAUGAAUUAUGAUGCAAAAGAGUAUCACUCAUUGUUACGAAAGCAUCCUAACAUUCACUAUCUCAACAUAGCCGAAAAUAUAAGAAUACACACUAAUAUAAAUAAAAAUUAAGACAAUAGAGAAAUAUAUUACGAGAGAGAUAUAGAUGAGAAAACUAUUCUAUAGUAAUAAUAAAAAGUAAAGAUGAAUUAAAAUUUUAAUAAAUUACAACGAAAAUAAAAUAAUAAAUAAAUGUAUAUAAGUAAACAAUAAAAUUAGUAUCAUAUAUGUUUUCUAUAUUGAAAUGUUAGGUACAAUUUCACAUGAAAUUUUUCACAAUGUACACUAAAGAAUUUAAAAUAAAUUAUUUAGUUAACAAAUUUUAAAAUAUCAAAUGUCAAAUAUACCGGAGGUAGCUCGGUUUCGUCCCAACUCCCAAGUACAAAUAAGAGAAGAAUAAGUAAUUAUAAAACUCUACUAUAAGUAGUCUUUCUCUCUGCUCAUUUACUCUCCCCUCUCUCUUUAUUUUUCUUGUUUCUUUCCAACAAAAUAUUACGUACACAUAUACACUACACACAUAUAUAUAUAUAUAUAUAUUUAUUACAUUAUUAUUUAUAAUAAGGAAAAAUUCCCAAAAAAAACCUCAUUUAUUUUUUAUUUGGACGUUUAAUACCUAAUUGUUUUUGGUUGGAAGAAAAAUACACAUAUUAAUAAAUCCGUGCGAUUUAAUACCCAAACAAUUAAAUGUUUUUAUUUUCAUACUCACGGUCUCACAACAAAAAUAAAAUUCUAAUUUUACCCUUACCAUCUCAAUUAAUUAUUAACUUUUAGAAGAUAUGACAAUAGUUUUUCUAUUUAAAUAAAAAUUAAUUUUAUUAUUAUUUCAUUUCUUUUUUUAUCCCAAAAAAAUUGAAAAUAAUUUUCAGUUUAUUUUACAAAUAUUUAAUUUUAAAAAUUAAAAUAAAAUUAAUUAGCAAAAAAAUUAAAAAAUUUUAAAAAUAGCCAUUUUUAUGAAUUUAUAAAUCUUGAGAAAGACGAUGAGAUUCGGAUUGAGAUUUUGUCGAAAAUAGUUUCAUUCAUGAAGGAUUUAUAUUCGAAUAGGGAGUUUCUCACGACGAAGAAAAAGUUCAUAUCGAUGCUCGUUGAUAUCAUAUGCAUCACGACGAAUAAAAUCAAAUUAGUUUUAUUGGUGAUGAAGAUUUUGGAUACGAUUAAAAAGAGAUCUUGAACGGUUAUCGAAUUUGAUGGUUGCAAAAGAUGACGACGGAGAUUGUUUACCGGCGAUCCUCAUAGAGAUUAAUCGAGAAAAUUUAGAAUCGAAGAGGAAACGUCUCUUUGACAUUGCAAAGACGGAAUAAGAUUGUACAAAUGACUAUUUUUAAUAUUUUUGAUUUUCUGCUAAUUUUUAUGUUUAAUUCAUUCGACGUCAGAGGGAAUGACUCGUAGCUAGGGUCCCAUCUCUCUUCGAUUAUUCAAUUUGAGACUAAAAAAAGUGUGAAUAUGUACAGUCUCUCGUGAGGCCGCUUACUCGUCAAUUGAGUCUGUAAUAGCGGACGAUUCUAUCAAACCCUAAAGUAGAAGAAAAAGUAAUUUUUUGUUGUCGUGACGCUUUGGUUAGGCCGACAAAUAUUCCGGGAAGAAAUAUAGAUAGAAUUUUUCUCAAUAAAGGGAAGAUUCCUUUGAACAAAUCCUAGUUAGUUAGCUUGGCACUGCCCGUUUACGAUGCAACUAUCGAAAGCCAUUUGCACCAGGUUUAUAAAGACUGGUUCGAAAGGAGACGUCCCCCCCCCCCAUGCUACGGUUCCCUGCGGUCUUCAUAUUGUUACAAAUGAACUCGUAGGCUCUUCCUGCGCUCUGGAAGAAGGUGUCCCAGUCCGUAGGGGCACUUUCAAUCAACCCAGAAGGGAUAAUAAUAUCUUGCGGUCAGUCUAUGUAUAUCUUCUUGUUCCCUGUUCCCUUUAUCAGCUCUUUACCAACUAUCCGUCAUGGAAAGAUAUCGACGCAAUACAAAGGUUGCCCAUCUCCCAUUUAAUCGGAACGGAAGUCAGAAAUCUAAUAUUUGUACGAGCAAGUUUUUGUAUCAGGAAAGAGGCAAGGACAGUCAGUUGGUAAGAAAGUAAUCCCUUCCAGAGUUGUAAGAUUAGUAAGCUUUUCCCGGCUACUGACAGGAAAGGAUGGCUUUAGAUUCUUUGCUUGCCCAUACGCCGAUCCUAUUAGCUGACUAGUACCCGUGGCUGCCUGCCUGGUGGGGGGCGGCUCCUCCGUUGUGGGUAAAUGGGAAACCCGACUCUACGAACGUUCAUGAGACUGCAGCGGAGUGGAGCAGCCACGACACUCUUUUUCCUUAGCUGGAUCUCCCUGGUGCCACAGGUGCUAUAGAGACAUGAGCGAGAUCCAGCUGACGCUAUGCAUACACUGAAACAAGGCAGCUAUGCACACUAACUCAUACCUUAUUUUUAUAACGUGUUAAAAAGAGGACAUCAUAACUCAUAUGAUGGAUCAAUCAAAUCCUAGGAGAAAUGUCAAAGCAGAAGAUCAAUCAAAGGAAAACCACUCAAUUCAUUUUCAUUACUUACAUUUCCCCCGAAUUACUUUCGGCUUCUGGUCUAAGAGAGUCCUGUAAGGCACCACCCUGUUGUGCCAGCAGCCAACUCCGGCGUGUCAGCUUAGUUUAUUCACUAUCUGAAACUUAGCACUUGUUUGAUUUUUUUAAGAUAAAAUAAUUAUAUAAUUUUUUUUUUAUUUUUAGGCAACAUAAGUAAAACAUUAGUAAAAUUAAUUUUUAUUUAAAUAAAAAACUAAUGCCAUGUCAUCUAAAAGUUAAUAAUUAAUUGAAAUGGUAAGGGUAAAAUUGGAAUAUUCUUUUUGUUGUGAGUUCGUGAGUAUGAAAAUAACAAUAUUUAAUUAUUUGGAUAUUAAAUCGUACCGUUUAAUUAAUAUAUGUAUUUUUCUUCCAACCAAAAACAAUUGGGUAUUAAACGUCCAAAUAAAAAAUUAAUGAGAUUUUUUUUUGGAAUUUUCCCUUUAUAAUAAAUACAUUUCUCUUUUGUUUUGUUCUAUUUUCAGUAUAUCCCGAUAUUGCACAAUUACUUAUAUUUAUUUUUAUAGUAAACUAUUAAUUACUUCAAGAAACAAUUAAUUUUUGAAAAAAAAAAAGGAUAAGUGAGUAAAAACUGUUUUUGCUUGGAAAGGUUGAGAUUCUGAUUUUGACUUGAAAUUCUGUUGUUGAGCCGCGUGAGCCUCACGGACUCAAAAACCCAUCCUUUCCUUUAUAAACCCAAUCUUCUUCGUGAGAGAGUGUCAGUGAGAGAGAAGAAGACGAGAAUGGGGCACGCCACGACUCUCUCUCACUUCCUCAUCCUCUCUUCCUCCAGGCUCUCUCGUCUCGGGUCUCGCACUAGAUUCCUCACAAAACCCACUCCUCUCUCCGGCUCUUUUUCUCCCUUUCCGGUCACCGGACAAGGGUUCCGAUGCUGUUGCUCCGCCGCCACAGAAGACCCUUCUCCUUCUGUAAAGUAAAAACCUUGCCUUUACCUACUUCUAGUUGCAAUUACUUAGGUCUGAGAUCUCUCUGUUGAAUUUUGAUUCUCCUGAUGACAGGAAACGCGUGGUCUCUGGUGUCCAGCCUACAGGUUCAAUUCACUUAGGAAACUAUCUCGGUGCUAUCAAAAAUUGGGUCGCUCUUCAGGUUCUUUCUCAUUUCUAGUUAGUCAAUAAGCAUUAGCAUUUGCAACAUUCAUCAGUUUAGAUCCUUUGUUGUAAAGUUGAAGGCUUUAAGAAAUGGAUUCAAUUUGUUGUAAAGUUAAAAGGCUUUGUAGUUAAAAAAAACAGUGUGUUUCUGGUUUCUAUUGGCUUCCUCAUUCACCAAUGUAUGAGACAUUUGCAAAAUUAAUCACUUUUUUUAUAACGGUUUGUUGUAAAGGAUUCAGUUUUAUAUUUUCUGGUUGCUACAAAAUUUUAUCUUUUUGUGUUUAUAUUUUUGCAGGAUACAUAUGAAACACUCUUUAUCAUCGUAGACUGUCACGCGGUAUGAAUUAUCUACCUUUGAAAUGUUUGUUUGAGUGAUAUUUCUCUCGCCGUGUUUAUUUAUAUCUUUUGCUUGAUCUAUGUAGAUAACACUUCCAUAUGAUACACAUCAACUAGGAAAGGCAACUACGGAUACCGCAGCACUUUAUCUAGCAUGUGGUAUAGACGUUUCUAAGGCUUCGGUAUUUGUGCAAUCUCACGUCCCCGCUCAUGCGCAGUUAAUGUGGCUUUUAUCUGCAUCCACGCCUAUUGGUUGGUUAAAGAAAAUGACUCAAUUUAAAGAGAAAUCACGCAAGGAGGUGCGUAUAUGGUUGCUUCAUGGUCUUAUCACAUUAUUCUCUUUCAUUAUUAUGUGCUUCAAAUAAACAAAAAAGGGAAAAAUCUGCCUAAUACUUUUAAGUUUUGUUAUUGAUUUCUUUGUGUUACUAGUUAGAUAACAUAUGUAAUCUUCUAAUGUAUUGGACAUAAGAACAGCAUAGUCAACUUAGUCUUUUUGCUGCAUAAACCUGAUGAUAAUAAUAAUUGCAUAGUUGUGUCUAUUAUGAGACUGUAUACAUUUAGAAUUCUGUUUACUGAUUCCAUUUUCGUUCUUUUUUGGCAGGGGGCUGAGGAUGCUAGUGUCGCUUUGUUUACUUAUCCUGAUCUGAUGACUGCUGAUAUCCUCUUGUAUCAGGUGAUACUUUAAAGUAGUUAAGUGUGCUGCAAUUAUUGUAUAAUCUUAUAUAGCUGAGCUCAUGUAAGAUUAUUCGGUGAUCUUAUUUGGGGUUGUUUCGCUGUCCUGUUAAAAAUUGCAUGUAAAAUACCUGCUGAUUGCACGCAGGAUGACCAUUUUUCUGAAUUGUUUGGUUCUCUGUCACAUGCCUCUGCAGUCUGAUUUUGUCCCUGUUGGCGAGGACCAGAAGCAGCACAUAGAACUUGCCCGUGAAAUCGCUCAGCGUGUGAAUCAUUUAUAUGGUGGAAGAAAGUGGAAGAAGCUUGGAGGGUAUAGAACUUUUUUUUGUGCAUUUUAGUAUGUUAAGUAUAUACCAUUAAAACAAGUCCUUAUGAUCUGUGCUUUUCAUGUUUCGUAAUGGCUUAAUUUCCCCUUCAUUUGUAUCCCCUCAUCCGUACAACAUUGUCGAUUUUCAUUUCCAGGCGCGGUGGUUCGCUCUUUAAGGUGAGACUUUCCAAUUGCUUUGCCUAUCCUCAUUGUGUGGCUUUCUAGGUUUGUCAGAGAUGGUUAAUCGUUCUAUAAAUUUAUCCUCUUUGUAGAUACCAGAACCACUCAUACCACAAGCUGGAGCCCGUGUUAUGUCUCUUACCGAUGGUCUUUCCAAGGUAUAAUGUUUUCAUUCACAGCUACUUUAAGGUUUCUUGUAAAUUAAUUUUCUUUCUGCAUUCAGCAGUUGCAUCACAAUUGGUCUUAUAUAAAUAAAAUUUUAGAGAAGAUGAAUAGCGUUCACAAAUCCUAUUAGAAAUAUAUUGAGUUAAUCUUUAAUAUUCUUUAACAUCGAAUAGACUUUUACUACUGGCUAGUCUGUUUCUUUCUAGUAUCCCUAAUUGGUCUGGUUAGAUCUUUCCAUCCGUUUGUAAGACCAUAUUGAACUAAUCCAAUUUUUGGGCUUGCUUAUUGUUAUUCUCAAAUGGUACUGAGGAAUUUCCUACUUGUCGCUGUCGCCUCACUGUCUUGUAAAUCUUGUAGAUGUCCAAGUCCGCACCUUCUGAUCAAUCCCGGAUCAAUCUCCUUGACUCAAAAGAUGUAAGUAAAAUGAACUCACUGAUGUUUGUAAGGCUUUUGAAAUAUCAAUUUUUUCAUGUUCGUUGUACGUGUUCUUGUUCUGCUACUUAAAUCCAUUUCUCAUUCCUCCUUAAAAUUGUGUAGCUGAUUGUGGACAAGAUAAAACGGUGCAAGACAGACUCAUUUGCAGGGUGAGUGCUAAUUAUGUCGCUUUCCCCCUCGCAAUGCACAAGUUUUUUUUUUCUUUUUCUUGUUACCAUUUUAGCUUUCAAAUUGAGAUAUCAAAUACUGAAAGCUUCUGCUCCUUGUUCCAACAGCCUUGAAUUUGACAAUGCUGAGAGACCUGAAUGCAACAAUCUCCUCUCAGUAUAUCAGAUUGUUUCCGGCAAGACGAAAGAGGUAUGGAGAAAGAGAUAAUGGUUUGUCUCUAAAGAUUUGGGUCACAGAGAUGCUUUCACAUGUCACUUACUCCCUCGGCCACAAUAGUUACUUAAAAUAUAAUCCGGUGAACACUUUUUUAAUCGAUUGCAGGAAGUAACGGAGGAAUGCAAAGAUAUGAGCUGGGGUACAUUUAAGCCUCUCCUUGCAGAUGCUUUGAUCGAACAUUUGAGUCCUAUCCAGGUCUGUGAAGUCAAAAGUUUGAAUCAAUAUACAUUUCUUUGAGUGCGUCAGUUCCAUUUCAUCGAUGUUUUUGCAGUUUCCAUAAGUAAAAUGGCUAGAAGGGCAUUUUUCAUGUGCAUAAGUUAAUGUGAUACAGAAUUUGAUUUCGUAUAUGUUUUUUGUGUCAGGCCCGUUAUCAGGAGAUAAUAGCGGAACCAGCGUAUUUGGACAAAGUAUUGUCAGAAGGCGCGGAUAGAGCUGCGGAAUUAGGAGAUGUCACAAUGCGCAAUAUGCACCAAGCUAUGGGAUUCUAUCAGAGGAGGAGAUAGUGCCACUAUUAAGGUCGGCGUUUUUGAAAUUAUAAAAGAAAAAAUGAGUAGAGUUACAUUUGCGAAAUAUUUAUUGAUUCUUGAGGUAUUAUUAUUAUUUUUGCAAUAAUUUUGAUCCAUCUUGUUCUAAACAGAUAGGUGCAUUCACUAUGUAUCCACUUUGCGUUAAGACUUCUUGCACAAUCAUUAACCAAUUCAAUGGAAAUUAAAUAUGCUGAAUUAGCUGUGUUCAGUUUCAACAUCAUAGUAAGAAAUCCAGUGAUCAAUUCAAUUACCUUAGUAACAGUUACUUGCAUAAACCAGAGAUCGAAAAAGUCAUCGUAAUCCAUAGAUAAACUUUUUCUAUCUCUCAACUCUUUUCACAAACCUCAAGCAAACUUUAGUAAUUAAAAUCUAGCAGCAACAAGAAAACAGGAGAUGAUUUUAUGUACAUAAUCAUAUAACAUUGAAAGAUCCCAAAUCUCAAAGCAUAUAAAAUACAGAAACAAGUCUGAAAUAACCAGAAUAGGCAGACAGAUACAUUACACUUGCCUUGUUCUAUGGUUAUCUCACUGGUUUCUUCUUUUUAAUUUUGUAUCUCUCUUAUUGAACUAGCACAGCUCCACAUUUCACCUGGAGCAUAUAUUGUCGAACAAUGCAUGUCUCGUCCCAAACUCAGUUAUUCAUACUCAUUCUUCCCAGAGUUUGGAUGGAUACUCACAAUCCCACCAAGAAUCCAACAAGUAAAUCAUUUGAAAGUUAUUAUCUUUAUUCUUUUCUUCUAUCUUUUUUUUUUUUUGGAUUUUUUAGAACUUUUUUUUACCUUUAUAAGCUUUUAGUUUUCAUAUUUAGGUGAACUUACCAAUAGUGUCGAGUUCUGAAGCUGUCAUCCAAAGCAAACACUAGGUUGCUUGAUUCUUGUUAUUUAUUUUUGUGUUUUCUUUUUACUUUUUACUUUUUCCUUUGUUCUUCCGGUUCUCAUUAGAAUUGCGGAGACCUCGCUCACACUAUGGACUUCAAGCUCAACCUCCUGCUGCUAUAAAAAGUACCAAGAAAACCAAAACAAGAGCAUAAAGAGAUCAUGAUUGGCAAAAAAAGCAGUAAUGGGUUGCAAAAACACAUACCUCAUCAUUGCAUUCUGCAAAGAUUCUGACCUAGCUCCAUCGUCCAGCUUCCCCAUCCCGCUGAGCAAAGGAUUUGACUAAGACACAAAUAAAAUAUACAAGGAGACAAGUCAGAAGUGAUCUGGAAAGAGAAAAGAACCUAGUUUCAAAAAGUAUGAAAUAAUACAGAAUAAAGAAUGGCAGUGCAGGACCUGUCAAUGAAAACUGAUGGAAAUAUUUCAGAAAAAGAUGGAGAACAUAAAAUUGAUCACUUAAGUAGCACAACAUUCUAAUUUCAGCUUGUUAUCUCAUAUUUUUUGAUUCAAAAAAUAAAGCACAAGAUCACCCUUCAAUAUGUCAUGCAGUGAGUGUGAAUUAAAAACCUGAAGUUCUUCUGACAAGCCACUUUUGAACAAUCUGUCUGCAUGCAAGUUUCUAUGUUCCACAGCUGAAUCCAAAUUUGCAGGAGUCAAAAAACCCUGUAACAACCCAUGAUCACUAACAACCCAGUACGUUCAAGACAUUUCGCCAAUUCGUUUACAAUAUUAUCAUCGAACAGCAAAAACUCACCUCAUGAUCAAGGUUCCGCCCACAGUAUCCAUUCCACAAAACACCAUCAGCAAUUUCUCCCGACUUGGCUUCCCUCUCAACUUCAUCAACAUCUUCUUUUACAUUAAGUCGCCUUGGAAGAUGUUGUGUGGCAGUGUCAUUAAUAGAUUCAGAGCCCAUAUCACGACCUAUUUCUUUAUUCUGCCAACCUUCACAUGCUAGCACAGCACGAGGGUCAGGUCUCACAUGUUUUCCUACAGGCUCAGCCAGACCAUGAUAACCUUGAACUAGAGCCCUACUAUCUACUUCCAGGAUUUGCUCGCAACCGGAGUUAUGCUCAUAUUGAGAAAAUUUUAUGAGUUCCGUGCUUUUACGGAUAAAUUUUUCAGCCUCGACUUCCACGUUAGGAAGACUUCUAACAUUGCAAACAAGAUCACCAGUUACUAAGCAUUCAGCUCUAGGACCUGGCGCAAUGCCAAUCUGAGGAGUCUCACCAGUAGUGAUACCACUGCUGACAGGAGAAACUGCAUCCAGACUAUGUGGACUACGAGAUGCACGCUUCUCACGUUUCUCUGGCCGGGUAUCCAUAGUUUCAUUAUCAUUCUUUCUCUUCGCAUAUCCAUCAACAGAGUCGGACAAAGAACCAACGACCCCCUCACCAGGUUCUCUGCAUUGUUGAUUCUGGUGCCUUGACUGCCGAGGCCUUUUAUAUCCCUUUGGGAAAACAAAAGAUGGAAGCUGCCGUCUUCGAACAUGAGAAACAUACACAUCCAUCCCAGGUCUCCAAAACAUAUACAUGUUUACUUCUUGCCUGAACUCGUCCACUGUUCCACGUAUAUCGAACUGUUGACAUUCUUGGCCACCAAAUCCUUCUGCCCUCUGCAAGCCCAUGAAAAAGGCACAAUGUCGAAACUUCUUCGAAGUGUCUACAUACUCAUUUGGUUGAGGGUGGCACAUUAACAUCCCAUUUGUGUCUCGUUCUAUCUGCAUUAUUGGAUUAAAAAAGAGAAGCAGAGAAACCUUAGAUGAUUAUUUAUUCUACCAGUAAAAAAAUUGAAGAACACACUGGAGACACAGAAUGUGUACUCCUCAACAUCAACUGAACUUAAGGCUAUCUACCUUCAAGGUCAAUUGCCUGAACCGUGACUCCACCCAACCUUUCCAUGCCAAUAAAUCUUCGGCAUCUAAUGCUAGUACAUCAACCUGAAGGUAGUUUUUAUAUGCCUCAAAGAACAUAUAUUGCUCAAAUAAGGAACUCCAUUGUUGUUUAUUUAGCUCAAUCUCCUGCAUAUAAAAAAUUACUUAGCAACGGGAUCCUGGGUAAACUUUUCAUAACAAAAUCAGGUGUUAUACUUCCUAACCUGACAGAUCGUGUUGCCAAACUGGAAUUGCUCUGUCAUAACACGAAGUGUGCUUUGAGAGACAUUGUAACUAGAAUUCAUGCAUGGGUAUGCAGGAGUUAUUAUUGGCAUAAGAUGAUAGCGGUCACGAUGAUUUUUCCGUGGGUCCCAGACAGGAAAGCUAAGCUCAUCUUCUUCUAUUGUACAAAGCAUGACUGGAUUCGGCCAGCGCCAUUGUAUAUAUACUCUAAAAAAUCGCGAAACCAACAUACUAGGAAUAGCAUUUGGAUAAAGCUGGCACAGGCGUGCAACCAGAAGUGCCCAGUUUACACCACCAAGAAAUCCAGUAACCUGCUCAAUAUAACAGGGAUUACAAAAGCUUUAACCUAAAAAUAUUGUCAACAGAUGUGAUAUUCAGAAAGACACCACCUUACAUUUGAAUAGACCCCACGCUUCUUAGCCCAGUACUUCAGGCAUCUUAAUGUUGUCCGGAAGUGCUACAUUUGCACAUAACAUAAGAGAUGGCUUACAGGAUUCAUUAGUUUAUAACAAAAAAAAACUGGCAUUCAACGACUUUACCUCGGAAUUUGGAACGAGUUUAAGAAUCUGAUCAGCAACCCUACAACCAUUAAGACUGCGGACAGUUUGUUCAUCCACGUCACACAGCACAGAAGAGUUGGAGAUAUCCAGAUCCUGUUAAUAAAUUGAUUCCAGAAAAUAACAGGAUCUGACUCAGUAAGAAUUUAUAAACUUUGGCGAGAACUCAGCUCAAUACUCAUAUAUAAAUCAAGCCUGACAGCGCUAACACAGCAGUUCUAGAUCUCCAUGUUCACUAAGGCUAACAAUUUCUGUAUAGAAGUUUCUUUGAUAUCUUAACCUUUGGGUGAUGUGUAUAAUACUAUGUGAUCAUCAACAUACAAUACACACACCAAACCCACCAAACGAAAUCCAAGAUAACAUAAAGGUAUCGUGAACCAUCCCCUAAGUUUCAACAGAAACUGAAAAAGGCUAUAUUGAUUACCUGUGGGAUAACUAGAAGUGAUAUGCUAGCAUACAGAAGAUCAAUCGAUAUUCCUUGGAACUUAAAUUUCAUGACUGGGACAUGGGCAUCAGUAACAGGUUGAAGUUCAGUCACUUCUUCCAUUUCAGCCAACAUAUCACGCAAGAUAAUGAAGAAAUCCUCCUAUAAAAUUAACCUGUUAGCAACUAAACUACACACCAGACCUUUACAUCAGUAAGACGUAAUUCAAUAGUUACCUCUCGGUUAACAUAAGAUGGGCCAACACACAAAGUAUCAAUAUCAGCCCUAGGUCCGUGAACCUGCAAGUCAACAACAUAAAAAAAUUUCACCCUCAAAUACAAGUAAUGUAGAGACGAAUACAAUGUUACUUCUCUUGAUUUCAGUGAUAUUCCCAAGGCUCAACAGAAAAUACAUGAUCCAAGUUACCCAUAACCUUUUGCUAAACAGAUAAGAUAAAGUUAAACUAAAACUUAAACUUACUCCAAGGCGGUAAGAUCCAAAAGUGAAAAUGACAGCAUUUGCAUCGUCCACCAUCUGAUCUGUAUAGCCCCUCUGACGAGUUAACUGUUUCACCCAGUGUUUUACAAUCUACACAAAAAGUUUGAAAAAAAAGAUAUGUUAGAUGAGCCAAUAGACAUAGAAGGCCUACACUACAUAAUUAUCAAUUUCCACAUAGAAGUCUUAGCCUAAACACUACGAAAAGAAAAAUGAGAGAACAAGUCUUAGCAUUAUCAUCAUCAUGAGAAGACAGUCAACAAAACACGCUUAUUCACCUGAUCAAUGCGCACCAGAACUUCCUCUCUCCGCAUAGUUUCUUCCUUGCUCUCAUAGAGCCCCUCAUCAACCAGAAACUUCACAAUAAAUCAGCCAAAAACGCAUUGUUCCUAAAAACAAUUUUCCAUUGGAAAUAAAAACACAAAGCUACCUUCUCUAGUUCCAAAUUACGCUUAACAUCAGCGGCACAAGGACCAGCAAUAGAAAGUGGCUUCGUGAUUCCAUAGGUCUUAAGAGCUUUUACCACCGGUGGAGAAGAGCCAUCGUCCGUGCGUUGUUGAGUACUACUCACCAUGACAAAACGCGUAAACAACAGAAAACCCUAGGCGAUAUCUCGAUCUGAUUAAGCACCCAGAUCAUGAGAACUUCGGAAUCAAACAGAAGAGAGUCAUGGCGGAGAUUGAAGAAGGAGAAAGGAGACAAAAGAGGAAAGAAAAAGUGAGAGAAGAGCGAGAAAAGCUCGAAAACGAAAUCGAAAACCCUAAAUUGAUGGAUAGAGAAAGCUCUCGACUAGAGAAUUUCAAAGGAAAGUCAAAGAAAAUCAAACGGAUUAAAAUCAAUUUUGACUUGUUCAAAGGAGGGAGAGAGAUGGAGAAGCAAAGGUCACUAGUUUUAUUGGUUAAAUCGAAUUCAACAGAAUCAUAUUUUUAUUGGUCACUUGAUUUUAAAAAUCUUUUCUCAUAAUUAUGCGUAUUCGUUUAAUUAUUUCAAAAUGCUAAUUGAAAUCAACCAAAGAUCUAUAUAUACAUUUUUGGAUGACUUUUAGCAAAUAAAUCCUGGAUUUGGAAUGUAUUUACGGAUGAAUGCCAUUGGCAUUAAUUAUUUAAAUUUGAAAAAUAUUAAUUAAAGAUAUUACCAACACGAUUUCGAGAAUCAUAAAUUCAUAUCUUCCUUAAUUUUCUGAGUCAUUAAUGUGAUAAUCUUUAGGAAAUAUUUCUCUGUAAAAAAAAAAUCCACAUUAAUGAAGGCAUUAAAAUCGACACUAACAAUUAAAUUAUUUAGAUAUUCAAUUAUUUUAAGAUUCUUAUAUCUUAUUUAAUAUAUUUUUUUAAUAUCUCAUUCUUUAAUUACUGCGUUUAGAAUUUAUUGGUUGUUACAUAUUUUUUGGUGAAAUUUAUUGGUUGUUACUUAAUAAGUAAUUAUGGUGCGUUUAUUUUAGUUAAUAUCUAAUUUAAAGGAUUUGUUUUCUUUUAUUAUUAAUAAACGAAUAACAUGUAUAGAAAUAAAAGAUUUUUCUUGCGACUCCAUAAUAAAAAUAUUAAACUCUUAUUUUCUACAUUUCUUACACAUAAUAUCCUCUUAUUCAAUAACAAAAAAUAUAUAUUGCAUAUUUUUAAAAAUAUUUAUAAUAUUUAAAUUAUAUAAAAAGUGUGUAAUAUUAAUAUUAUUUCAACUCUAUACAAAUUUAAUAUAUAUGUAUAUAUAUCUUAUGGGAACCAUUUAAAAGAAAUUUUUAAAUUGACUUGAAUUAUAUAGCUUUUAAAUAAAAGUAUUAUUAAAAAGAAAAAUAACUAAAUGAUGUUUAAUUUCACGGGACGGGUAAUAUGAUGGGACGGGUUUGGGUUGAUAUUUAUAAAAGAUAGUAUACCACGGGUAAAAUCCUAAAAUUAACAAUCAAAAUAAUCUAUCAAACAAAUUACAUUUUGAUUUUUUUAAGAAAAUAUAGCCCCGCGGUGUACUGCGGGUUAAAAUCUAGUAUGUUUAAAAUGCUAAUUGAACUCAACUAGAUUAUGUACCCGCGCAUUGCGCCGGAUUUUAAUUUAAAACUUUUAUCAAUACGAAUUUUUGAGUAUAAAUAUAACCAUUUGAAUUUUAAAAGAUUUUAGUUUAUUCAUGUUUAUUAUCUUCUAUGAUUUACUCGUCGUCUCUUAAAAUGUACUAUCUAUUCACCUUAUAUUGGCUCACAUAUAAUAUAUUCGACUAUGAAUUAGUCUUUAAGAUAGAUCGUAUCUAUUUCAUCUUUUUUUUUAUAAGUUGUAUGAUCUUUUUAUUAAAGUGAACAACUUAUAAGAUUUUUAUUCAUAAGGUUUUAUUCGGGGAGAUUCUAUUCAUAAGGUUUUUUUACCAUAUUUUGGAUUAUCUAAAAUUGCUUUAUAGACAACAAAUCUCAUAUAUAUAGACUCAUUCCUAUUUAUAAACAUUGGAUUCAAACGUCUAAUUUUACACUUUAUCUUGACGAUUUGAAAAAUACAAAAAUCUCUUUUCAUAUAUAAAAUUUACCGUAUAUUAUGAUUCUGUAUAGUAUUCUUAGUGUUUAUUUUUCUCAAUGUGUAACAUAUGAACUCAUAAAAAUUAUUUUAAUAUAAAACUAUGUUUUUUUUUUUUAAAUAUCCAUGUUGUUUCUAAUUAAAAAUCUUUCAUUUCCAGUUUCCAAUUAAAACAUAUUCUAAUUUCCAAAUAGCAUUCUCAAAUAUUAUUAUUACACAGUUUUACUUUUCAAUUAGAUUAUUUUAUUUUUAUUGGUGAUGUUUAGGAUAGUUUUUUUCUUUGUAUUUCAAAUCACAUUAUUUUUUUCAAUAUAUAUUAAUUUUCUAAACACUGAUUAAUAUUAAUUUUUUUCUUUAGGUAUUCAUUUGUUUUUUUCAAAACACUUUAAUUUAGAAAACAUCAAUAAAAUAGAAAUUUUUAUUAAUAUACAUAUUUAUAUUAUAUUAGAGUUAUAAAUAAUAAUAUGUACUUAUUCCUUCUUAAUAUUUAAUCGGUAUCAUGAGUUGAUACUUAACAUUAACAAAUAUAUUCUCAAAUUUUAAAUUUGUAUUUUUUCAGAAAUGAUGUACUUUUUAUUUUAAGUAAAAACCUUUAAAUUUGUUUUUUCAGCUCUUCUUUUCUUUAUUCUACUAAAUAAUUGUAACUCUUAAAAAUGAUUGUUGUACCAUUAAAAUAUAUGAUAAGUUUCUUUUUUCCUAUCUCUAACCAAUUAAAAAUAUUUACUCAUUAUAUGUUAAGAUAUAAUUAUCUAAUUUUAUAUUUAUUUCUCUAUAUAAAAUUUUCAUAUUUUGUAUUGUAUAUUUUUCCACUUUGUUAUAAUAUUAAAUUGUUUUUUUUUGUAAAUUACUGUUUUUAUUUAGUAAAAAUUAAAAAUAGAAAGAGUGUGAAUUAAUUUUAGUUUUAAUGUUUUUUUUUCAAAAUAAGAUAUGUAGAGCCCAAAAUGUAAAAUAUGAUUACAUGGAUGCCAAUGUUUCUUAUUUUUCUUUAUUCUAGUAAAUAAUUGUAACUCUUAAAAAUGAUUAUAUGUUAAGUUUUUUUUUUUCAUAUCUCUAGUCAUUUACGAAUAUUUACUCAUUAAAUGUAAUAUAUAAUUAUCUAAUUUUAUAUUUAUCCAAUCUAUAUUCAAAAAUUUCAUAUUUUGUGUUAUAAAUUUAUUUUUUCUUUUUAAUAUUUAAUUUAUUCUUUUGUAAAUUAUUAUUUUUGUUUAAUGAAAAAUAAUAAUAGAAAUUAUAAAAUAUGUGAAUUAAUUAUAGUUUUAAUGUUUUUUGUUUUAAUAAAUAAAAUAUGUGGAGCCCAUACAAAAUUAAAAUAAGAUGACUUGGAUGAUGAUGUGGACACCCCAGAUGGAGAGACAACUCUCUCAUUAUAUAUAUAGAUUAAAUAUAUGUUUAUUGAAUCUAAGAGAGAGUUAUAGACUAUGCAUGAUGAAAUUGAUGGUCUUAUUCGAAGAAGCUAACUCUUGCGAUCGCAUCCGCAUAUUUGUUUCCUUCUCUUCCUCUAAACUUACAAGAUGGGUUUAACUGUUUUUUUUUGUCCAAACAUUGAAUCCGUGAACUUCUUCUUUAGACUCAGCCAAAACAUCGGCUCCUUUCGUCAUCAUCAAAAUAUUUCACUUUCAAACUUCACCUCUUGUAAUCCAAAAUUGUCCAAACAGUUCAUACCUCAGACCACCACCCAUAACUUCAGCUUCAAUACUAGAGAUAUACUAUGGAUAAGUUUUCGCUCCUAACAAUUUGACAUCUCCUUUAUCAUCUCUGAGAAUCCACCUACACUACAAUGAUCUAAACCCUUUUUCCAACAAGCAUUUGUUGGAUUUGUAAUCAUCAAUGUUCUUUCAAUUCAUUAUGAUACGGAUAUAUUAUACGAGUGUGAGAUUUCUCUAUAAGAAAUUGAGAUGUAUAUAAAGAAUGUAAAUAAUACAUAUUUCCUAUUCCAUCACUCCACUACAGCGUCUUAAGGGGGGAUGAUGAGGUCGGAGCGGAAGUUGGUGAAGAGUUUGGUGCAUAUAAAUUGUCAAGAUUGUCAUGGAAGAAGGCCUUUUGACAUCAAGUUAAUGAAUUGGCCAUCAGCAAGACAGAAAAAACGUUGAGAACAAGCGUAAUGUUUACGUGUUUGACGACAGGGUUGAACGUCUUAUCACAAUCAAUCCCAAUUUCUUGAGAUUUGCCAUUACCCACAAAUCGAGUUUGGUAGUGGUACAACUUAUCAUCCGAACCAAACGUGUGCAUGAAUAACCAUAAAGAACGCACAAUGUUAAUAGAUUUGGGUCGUGGUACCAAAAUCCACGGUCUAUUUUUAAUUAGAGCAUUAUAUUCAUCAUAUAUGGUUAAGAUGAGAUUUUGGGAGAAGUGGGAUGAUUUAUGUGUGAAGAGAUAUCAAUUUUUUUUGUUUGGUGAUCUUAUGUUCGCUGCGAGUCAUCAUGGGAUGAUGAGCUGCAACUUGAUGUGGUGGAACGGUCGCUGGUGGAAUCAAGAUAUGGACUGGUUGAGGUGGUGGAACUUGUGGCUGUUCCAUCUCAUCGGGAAUAAGUGGCAGAAUAAGAAUUUGUUGAAGAAGUGGUGAUAAAGCAGGAGGUGGAGUUGGGGUAGAAUAAGAAAUAAGAGAUGGAGACCCUUGCAAAGUAGUAGAGAAAGGGACUUGAGUUUCAUCAAAAAUAACAUGGCGAUUUAUUAUUACCUUUCUUGUAGUAAUGUCGAGAAAGCGGUAUCCUUUCUGAUUGGUAGGAUAGUCGAGAAAAACACAUGAUGUGGAAAGACACCCAAAUACAUGAAGAUAAGUGUAAUUAGGUGAUUUGUGAAAGAGGUUGGUAUAGGGAAUGUCUUGAUUAAUGAAUGAAGAUAGGAGAAUGUUGAACAUAUGUGUAACCCUUUCUUUCUUUUCCUUCACUAGAAACCCUAACCCUUGAAACCCUAGCGCCCUCUCAGCCUUCUUCGUCUAUAAUUUUAUAUGAAAUGAGAAUUGAAAGUUGCAAUUAUCCUUGGAUUGGUUUGAGUGCGAAUCAAAGACAACGCCGUCAGGGUGCUUAUGAUACGAUGCGGAGGAGACGAAGUAAGGUCAGAAGCUGCAGCAAUGGUUGCUUCUGGUGCAAUCUGUUGAAGCUCGUUAAUGGCGGUUAACAAAAAACCGUGGGCCUCCUUCGAAAUUUUUUUCACAACUUUAGGGAAUUCGAACUCGGGUUAAAAAGUUAUAGAAUCCCAAAUGUUACCGCUAGACCAUGAUAAUAUACUCUUAAGUUUUAGUUAAGAGAUUGUAUGCAGGGCCGGCCCAAACAAUUUUAGUGCCUAAAGCAUAAAAAAAAUUUGGUCCACUAAGAAAAACUGUUGAAAAAAAUAAAGGGCCAAUUUGUGCAGAGACAAAAAUGAGAUAGAAAAUUAGGUAAUCAACAUUAUGGGAUUGUGGUCUUCAACAGAGAUAAUAUUUACGAGAAAACCACCUUUUUUUAUAAUGAUGCGCGUGGAAGCAACAGUUUUGACUUUUUUGGGAAACAAAAAAGCAACUGACAGUUAAUAAAUGUUCAUCAGUGGAAUAAUAAAUAAGAUAUUUGAUUUAUUGCAAAAACGUAGAGAACGAAAAUGUAUGUAGAGUGUUAUUAGUAUGUAUAUACAUGUAAACACGUAUAUAGAACGUUAUUAACAUUUAUAUACAUGUAACCAUGUAUAUAAAAAGUUAUUAAUAUUUUUACAUUUGUAAAUAUUUAAAUAUAGAUCUACAAACAAAUUUGGACAUCCACGCAAAAAACAUUUGGGCAUCCACACAGAUCUAUAACGCAAAAAUCCAGAUUUAACUGAACUUUUGGAGAGAUAUCAAAGAAUAUAGAUAAAUAAAAAAUAUCCGGAUUCUCCGGCGCGACAGAAUGAAUAGUAUAUACAGCGAAUUCUCCGACGCAUCGGAGUAAAUAGUAUACACGACACAGCAAAGUGACUAAUAUACACAACGAACCAGUUAAAUCAGAAUAGAACAAAACUGAACAAUAGUGUUAGAGGAAGAUGACGAGACUUGAGAAAAUGAUGAACAUGUGAAGCAAAUGAACAUCCAAGAGAUAAUUUGACGUGUUUGUCUACUUUAUUACGAUGGAAACGCGUGAGGUUAGUUUAGGCAAAAAAAUUAGGCUAAAUAUUACAUUGUUUUAGACUCCCAAAAAACUAAUUUUGCCCAGAUCCAUAGUCUCUCACCCAAUUAUCUCAAAAAUAAAUACAAGUAAUGGUAAAGAUAGGAAUUGAACUUGUCACUUAAAAGAGAGUAUAAUAGUAAACUCAACUGCUACACCACUUUAACGUUUUAAGAAAUGAUGCCCCUAAAAAGUUAAUAAAGUUUUGAUGCCUAAAGCCCUUGCUUCACGGGCUUUAGCCCCGAGCCGGGCAUGAUUGUACGUACAGAUUAAAAUAUGAGGAUUUAAAAUUUAACACCGUUAAAUAAUUCUGUCACAGCUGUUAACGGCUGUUAACUUCUGGGUUUGAUUCGAGCAAUAAUUUUUAUACAGAGAUAUUUUAAGACCACAAAUAAUUAGAGAAGGUAUUUUAUUCUAACUAAAAAGUAUUAAGUAUUAAACGUUCAAAUAAAAACUAUACAUGGAUUUCUUUUAAAAAAUUUCCCGAAAUUAUUGAGAUGUAUAUAAAAAUUGGAAAUAAUACAUAUUUUCCAAAUCUAUCAGCAUCGACAUUACACUUUAAUUUAUCUGGUUGGGCUGCCAUAUGAUACGAAUUGGUAACUGAACCAGGACAAUCUUGUUUCCUUCAACAUAGCCUCCUGCCACUCCUUUGCUUCACUAAUCACCCUUACAUUACUUUAUACGCCUCUUCACAAUGAUAAUUGCCCUUGAUAUUAGUUUAUGUGCCUCCUCAUCCUCAUGGAGUCAUGGUGAUUACUUGAUUAGUGAAACAUAACUCAUUCAUUGCCUUUCAUAUUCUCCUCAUAAUCCAGUUCGGUCAUGGUUUUAAAAUACUAAAAAAGUGGUCCAUUUUUCGAAUUUUCUCCAAAUUGUCAUAAACUCUCCAUUCGGUUUAUGAUAAAAUUCAAUUUCGGUUUAGAUUUGAAUAAAUUCCCGGUUCGAUUUAGUUAGUAUAGCCAGAAUUUCAGAAACGCCUCCUUCCUUCCUUCCCUCGCCUCCGUCUCUCCAAUGCUCUCCCGUGUCUACCCAAUCCUCCGCCAUAACCGUCUCUUCUCUGCAGAAGCGCGUGAAAUGCCACGCGCCACUCUCCUUCUCCUCCAACCCAACUUCCUACGCUUUUCCCCGAGAACUCCUCCUCUGAAUCGUCUCGAUGUUUCUUCGUCCGAGUUUUCUUCCAUGUUCCGUCGGAGAUUCCACGCUUUACGCAGCACCGUAGGAGACUGGACGAAGCUUCCGAAACCUCCGGGUCGGGUUUUCGCGGAGAGGAGAGAAUAUAGGAAGAUUAGGAGAAGAACUCCGAAGAAGAAACAGGAAUUGGAGCUUAGUGUUAGUAUCUGCAUCGAAGAACAGCUUCCUGAUGAUCUUGAGAUUCAGGUUUGUUCUUUGAUAAUUCAAUUUAGCCAUUCUAGUUGUGUUGAUUCUUAUCAAAUUUCAAACAAUGUAGAAUAUUGCGGAAAUGCUUCGUCUCAAUGUGCCUAUGGCAAUGACAUUGGCUUUCAAUGGUUUGAAAGAUUCCAAGUAUAAAACAAGAGAGACUGAUAUAGAAGAUCUUGGUGGGUACGAAACUGUCGAAUUAUCGGUCAUGCUUUGUAAUGAUGAUUUCAUUUGUAAACUCAACAAAGAGUGGAGAGGUGAAGAUCAUGCUACAGAUGUGCUCUCCAUGUCACAACAUGUCCCUGAAUUGAAGCUUCCAGUGGUAAAGAUUGUGUUUUUUUGAUUCACUGGUUUUUAAUAGUGUGGUGUGGUUCCAAAUGGUUGGUUACUCAUUAUGGUUAUUCUUCGUGUAGCUUAUGAUGGGAGAUAUUGUCAUUUCUGUUGAGACAGCUGCAAGGCAGGCUGCAGAGAGAGGGCACACUCUUCUUGAUGAGAUACGUAUUCUUGUGGUAAGAUUAAUAGAUGUGGAGUUGGAACCUGUUACUGACUUACUUUUUAACCGAAACGUACAAGUGAAAUGUGGCUCCUUAUAGGUGUAGAUUAGAACUACUAAGAGUAUACUUUGGUUUUAUUUUGCUUAGAAGUAUAGUUCUUGAUCUUUGUUGUUCCAUUAACCAUGUAAGAAGUCAGUAAUGUGUUUCCAUAAUGUUUAGAAGAUAUAAGAAGGGCAGGAGCCAAUUUUGUUUUUUAUUCAGGAAUGGUUUAAUAUGACUUGUGUAAUUUGCUGAUAACUUAAUGGUUUUUUAAGAUUCAUGGGUUGCUACACCUACUGGGUUUUGAUCAUGAGAUCAGCAACGAGGCUGAGAAAGAAAUGGAGGAGGAGGAGGAGUUGUUGCUAAAAAGCCUUGGGUGGAAAGGAAAAGGACUCAUUCAGAGUGCAUAUGACAUUGAAAAAACAGCUAAACCUCAGCUGGAGAAAUCAGAUGGUAUUUUCCUGUGUUUACUUGUCAGCAACUGUGUAACAAUCAUUUACACUCCCCCUAUUAUCUUCUUGUUCUCUCUAAGAUAAACUUAUAGACUACUGUUAAAAGACAGGAAGGAAGGGGAUGGCCUAAGAUUGUACAGACCAAAGUUCUCCUAUAUAUUCUGUGAUAUGGAUGGUAAGGUUACAUAUUUAACAAUGUGUAGUUGUUCGUUUCGGUUUUCUUCCCUUUCUCAUGGGAUUUUGAUGUUAACUCUCCUAGGCACACUGCUUAACAGUAAAAGUCAGAUUUCGGAGGCAAAUGCAAAAGCUUUAAAAGAAGCCAUGUUGAGGGGACUUAAAGUAGUCAUAGCUACGGGGAAGGUGAGAAGACACCAGUUUCAAUGACUUCAUUUUGGACUCUUCUUUGUUUUGUCCAACUAUGUCUUUCCUUAUUUUUGUUAUUUGUUCGUCUUUGAAAAAUGUUUUGGAGAUGGUAUCUAUUCUUAACUCUAUUUAUUUCACAGUCUCGCCCAGGCGCGAUCAGAAUCUUGAAGACGGCUGAUCUAACUGGAUCCGAUGGCAUUGUCUCAGAGUCCUCUCCAGGCGUUUUUGUUCAGGUCUCCUACUUUCUCUAACGUAAGGGAAUUAGUGAGGUGCACCAAUAUCAAUGUAAUCUCACUAAAUAUCUGUUUAAUUACAGGGCUUACUUGUCUAUGGUAGACAGGGGAAAGAAGUGUAUAGAGGAUAUUUGGACCGAGAGGUCUGCAGAGAGGUAAAUCCACUUAGUAUUUAGACUAAAACAACCAGCACAGACUUAAUUCUCAUACCCUCGGCUUAGUUCACAACAUGCAUUAGAAUUCUGGAACCCAACCCCCUUUGCAUCAUAGUUCUCUACCAUGGGAAGCAGAAAAAACCCUACUUAACUACAGACAGUCUUCAGUCUAUUAUCCGUGUGUAUCUUGAUUGAAUAACUAAGUUCUAGAAUUUCUGUUUCAUACGUACCAAAAUGUUGGUUUUUGUAAUAUGCAGACGUGUCUUUAUUCUUUGGAGCAUCGAAUUCCUCUCAUUGCAUUCAGCCAGGAUCGCUGCUUGACAUUGUUUGACCACCCUCUUGUUGACUCUCUUCACACAAUCUACAAUGAGCCAAAGGUAGGUUAAUGAAACUGUUACGCUCUCUCUCUGUCUAGUUAUGAUUUUUUUAACAGCUUCUUGCAUAAUCUCUACAUGUUUUGUAUCAACAGGCCGAAAUCAUAUCAUCGGUUGAUCAACUUAUAGCUGAAGCUGACAUUCAGGUGAUUCCCGGAGUCAGAACUUUUAUUUUACUUUAUUACAUCUGUAUAAGUCAAAGUACUGAUGUCUGGUUCUCUUGUAUAUCCGAAGAAAGUGAUAUUUAUGGACACAACCGAGGGGGUCUCAUCUGUUAUCCGUCCGUAUUGGUCAGAAGCUACAGGCGAUCGUGCUAAUGUCGUUCAAGCUCAAUCAGACAUGCUAGAAAUCGUCCCGCCAGGAACCUCCAAAGGGAACGGUGUAAAAAUGCUACUCAAUCAUUUGGGCGUUUCACCGGAUGAGGUAAUAAUCUAGCAUCUUUUUACGGCAUUUUAAAGAAGCUCAAGAAGGCGUAAGUAUAGAAGUCAAACAAAAAAGUUGAAUUUCCACCCCUGAACCCAAGUUUCCAAGACUUGAUUUCUUUGUUCAAAACUAAGAUAAUUGAUGAAGCUAACCGGAUUCUUUUGAUCAGAUAAUGGCAAUUGGAGAUGGAGAAAACGACAUAGAGAUGCUGAAACUGGCCUCGUUGGGAGUUGCUCUGAGCAACGGUGCAGAAAAGACAAAGGCAGUGGCUGAUGUGAUCGGUGUGAGCAACGACCAAGAUGGUGUUGCUGAUGCCAUCUACCGCUACGCUUUCUGAGACUCCACCAUAUUUAAGUACAAGAUACACCAAAUUAAAUUUUUGAGGUUAAGUAGGCAUUAUUCUUCUUCUUUGUCUUACAGAUUAAAAAAAAACAUUAUUCAUUCUUGUCUCAGUCACCCACCUUUUAAAGGAAAAUGAUUGAUUGCAUGAGUGUGUCACUUGUUGUGUUCAAGUUCGUUAAAUCUUUCAUUCGUUUGCCAGAUGCUUGUAGAUUUGUCGUUUGCCUUGAUAACAAAAAAACAAGUUCAAAUCAUAUGAUCAAAUCCAGUGGAUUUGUCAUCAGUUAACAUUAAUCUUACAAUGUGCAACUAAUCAAUUGGUGAAUAAGUUCUAAAACUAAGAUUAGUGCCACGACCGAUGCACAAAAGCUGGUUGAAGUUUGAAACCAUUCAUUUAUUUAAAAGUGAUGUAGAUUCGAAUCGAAGCUAAUUGGUGUGAAGUUACACGAAUCUUGUUGCUAUAAAGUUUGUAGGCAGAUAUAGUACAAAUACUUUUGCAACACAGCUAGAUUAUAUAUAUAGACUAUGAAUUGGUCAGAUUUCUUUUAGUAAGAAUGCAGUCUUUUUGUUUAUCAAAAAAAAAAGAAUGCAGUCUUUUUCUCCUCUGCAAGGAAGCAUGGAGCUUCAACCUCUGUAGAGGCCUGAUGGGUCUGCGUUUUGCACAAUCCAUGGGUGUUCAAGAAGCUUGUGCAAGGGCAAACGUCGUGUAGACUCCUUAACCAGCAUCUGUUGGAUCAGAAAGUGUGACAUAUCAGAAUUCACUCUUCAAAUGCACUAAAGCUUAUGAGGGAUUUACGAGGAAUGCGAGUAGAAACCUGGCUAAUCAGGUCCUUUGCAUAUGAAGAGACAAUGGGUUUGGGAGGGAACUUGAGAUCCACUUGAACAAUCCUGUAGUAGCGCAUUUGUACAACAAAAACUGUUCUUUAAUAUACAUAACCACACCAUUAUACUAAUCCCAUUCUAAGCUUAGUGAACAGGUUACCUUUUGUAUGUCUCUGAAUGUUCCCUGGCCUCAAAAGGAGGGACACCAUAAAGAAAUUCGUAGCAGAGAAUUCCUAGACUCCAUAUAUCGACACUUGCAUCGUGUUCUACGCUUUCCACUGCAAAUCCAAAAGUAGAAGAAAAGUCAAUUAGCUGGUUGCAGAUGAGACUAGAUAAGAAACACUCUGGAAACCUUUCACUUACCCAUCUCAGGCGGAAGGUAAUCCAAAGUGCCACACAUAGUCCUUCUGCGGUUGAAUGUGUGUACUGACCAUCCAAAGUCUGCAAUCUUGAGCUCACCCUAACAGAAAAUAUCCAUGAAUACAGAAAUAUAUAUAAUAAGCAAAGAUCAAUCACAUGGCAUUGAUGGAGAAAGAUAACCAGAUUGAAUUUGCUACCUGAGCACCAAUCAAUAGAUUUUCAGGCUUUAUAUCUCUGUGAAUUACAUGCUUUCCAUGGCAAUAGAUGAGGGCUCUUGCCAAUGACGCAACAUACUGCCACAUAAUCAUAAGGGUAUGAGCUCGUACUAGUAUACAAGAAGUGUGACUACACAGAUUCAGAUUCAGAUGCUAGACUAAGAUCAAUAUCACUAGAACUUACAGUUGCUGCUCGACGUUCGCUGAAGUACUUGCACUUCUGAAGCUCUUUAUAAAGCUCACCUCUAGCUGCAUACUCUAAAAUCAAAUAAACUCUUUUCUGCAAACAAAAAUGAUAUCCCAAAAACCGUGUUAUCCUCACAGAGACAAACAUUGUAUGUCAACAAGAAGUUCUUCAAACACACAGAUAACACAACACCUGAUCAUAAAAGUAACCGUAGAGUCGCAGAAUAUUGGGAUGCCGAAGAUGAGAUUGAAUUUCUACUUCCCGCCGAAGCUGGUGUUCAACUUGAGAUUGUUGAAGCUGAGUCUUAAAAAGAACCUUAAGAGCCACAAUGUGAUUGCUCUGUUUGCAAAUAUGCAAAUAUGUCAGCUUGGUUAAAACGACAUCAAAUUACUUCUCCUUGUUUAACACACUAACCCGUUUCUCUCUUGCUAGAUAAACAUGGCCAAACUUCCCUCUACCAAGAGGCUUUCCAAUGUCGAAAUCGCUUGUAGUCCAUCUCUUUUGUGCAGCCUCUGAAACCGCCUGAUACAACAAUAUCACAAAGAUAGAAAUCCAAUUACCUCCCAGAAACACUUAAAUCAAAACGAAUAAUAAGCAUAAGAAACCAAUCUGUCUUGAAUCACAUCUCUAAAUUCUAACAAGUUUUCACAUCCCAAUUCGUCUGUUAUCUAAAACCGAACUAUACAAAUUAUACUUGCCAGAAACCAACUAUGAACAGGAAUCAAAAGAUAAAAUCAUAGAUCCCAAAACCCUAAUCCUCGGAUUUGUCAAUUAAUCUACAACCAUAUUACGAAAUUGCUCGAAAUCUUAGCAACAAUUUUUCCUCAAAGGAGAUGAAAUUCAAACAAAACGAGAUUCUUCUGGCUCAAAGAAAAUCGAGAAUCCCAGAUCAUCAAAUCCAUUAAAAAAGACCAACGCACAGAAAAUACAAACGAACAAGGAAGUAACACGAGAUAUAUAUAAAGAUCAAAACCCUAAAUUCGGUCAAAGAAAGAGGAAAUUCGUGAACCAAGAAAAUUAGUCAUUUCUUCUUACGUUUUGCUGCGUCUCUGUAGAAAUCCCCAUGGAAGAGAAGAGAUCGAUGAUGAGCCAAGAUAAGCGACAAAAAGAGAAAGAGACGACGAGUGUAAUUUUUACAAAGCAAAAACAGAUCCAAAUUGACAAAUUUUUAAAAGGGAAAAAAACGUAAACCACCAGCAAAGCAGCAACGGUCGAAUCCAGAUGCUGCCAUGUGUCGAUAUAUCUGCGUCCAAGUUUUUAUUUUCAAAUAUUGUCUCCCGAGAAAGACAAUAUAUUUUGUUAUAUUACGUUCUUGUAAAAUUAAAUUAUAAAUUAUUAUUUUUAAUUGUUUAUCAAAAAUAAAUAAAUAAUAUUUUUUUAUAGGAAAGACAUUAUUUUUUGGAUCAAUAUUAGAUUAAAAUAUAAUCAAAAUCGAUUAAAUUUGGUUAAAUUUUGGGUAAGUCAAACCGGAUAAAAUAUUAUUGGUUUAUUGAUCGGUUCAAUUGGAGGCGUAGUUUUAAAAAUAAAUCCGAAAGUAUGUGUAAUUUUAUUGAGAUUAAAGUUUGUUUUGGCGGUUUUUUCAUGAGGCAAAAAAUUUGGAGCGAAAAACUGAAAUUGCUAUUAGUAUAAAGCUGAAAAAUCAGUCAACCCUUCUUUAAUUGGUUUUGGGUGUCUAUAUAUAUGGUAAAGAUAUGCCGAGAACCAUUCAUCAUCUUCCUUCAAAACUUCUCUCAUCAGAUCUCUCUCAAGAGAUCUCAAUCCUUGGAGAAUCAGAGAACAACACUUUAUAUAUAUAGUAGACGUAGUUUUGAGACAUAAAAUUUUCAUCACAAAUUUGUAACAUUGUAGAUAAGAUAUUAUAACUAAUUUUAGUUGUCACAACUUCAUAGUAUUCCGUCAUAAUAUAGUGACGAAAAAAAUCUUAACCAAGAUUUGUUAUAUUUAAUGACGAACAAGCGAUGAUAAUACUAUUGUGACAACGUUGUGACCAAUAUGUUGUUGCAAAUUAAUUAGUUACGAACUUAUAACGGAUAUGCAAGUCGUCCUUUGUGACAUUAGAAUGAGUAAACAUUAUUCACAAAUUAGUGAUUAACUAACAUUAAUUAGCACAAACCCUAAUCCUAGUUUAAGAAGAACUAUUUAAGAUAUUGAUUAGGGUUUUCCAUUUCAUAAUUUCAUGCCUCCUAGACUUAGAGGAGAGAGAAAAAAAAGAAUGAGCCGCUAGUGAAAUCAAGGACAAUUUUCACACAUAUAUACUAUUUUUGAUUAAAUUUAUUAAAUUUUGUAUAACUAAAUUUCUUUAUAGUAGAAAACUACUCUAAAAUAUUAAUUACGAAAAGUUGGUUUAUUUGGGUCGGUAUGGUUGCAUUAAUUUUGUUUCCGAUUUGGUUUCGGUUUAUACUGUGUUCGAUUUCAGUUGGUUCGUGUGUAUGCCUAGCCUUUCUAUAUUGGCGAUUUGAUCGAGCAAUGGGACAACAUGGUUCGUGUGUAUGCCUAGCCUUUCAAUAUUUAAUUUAGCCGGUUGUUUUGAAGAACUUGUUUGUCUGUAGGUGAUACGAGCCAAAGCCUUCUUCUUUGAACUCGUAAAGACAACAUAUAAUUUAAGCAAAACCUUCCCUUUAACCCAAAUCUCUCUUAGAGAAUUAGGUUAAUUGUUGGAGGUUGGUUUCUUAUUGAUCAUAAGAGACCCUUAUAUAGGCCACGGUACAACCAAUCAUAAACAUAAACUAAAGGUACAACAUAGCUCUGAUACCAAGUUGAUACGAGCCAAAGCUUUCUUCUUCGAACUCGUAAAGACAAGAGAUAAUUUAAGCAAAACCUUCCAUUUAACCCAAGUCUCUCUUAAAGAAUUAGGUUAAUUGUUGGAGGUUCAUUUCUCAUUAGCAUAACGACCUAUAUUUAUAUUGGCCAUGAUACAACUUAGAUUCUAACCUAAACGUAAAAAAAGAAAACACUUAAGCAUAGAAAGGAAAUUAUGAAAACCAAACUCAUAAGGUAAACCACCAAAACUAAUUAAUUAAAACGUACUAACCGGUGGCCUAAUCAACCUAACCGUAGUCUCGUAUCAGUAGGCUUCACUUUUGGGCAUGCAAUCACUAUCGGCUUGAAAUGAUAUUGGUUCGGAAUUAUCUCGACUUUUGAAUUGGAUUCCUCAACCAACAUCCUUGCUUAGAUUGUGAUGUUGUCCUGCUUUCUUUUCAAUCGUCAAGUUUGAAAUCGAGUGAGAAUAUGAUGUGCCGUUUUCUAAGUUUGGUUUCUCCGACAGUGAUGAUAAAGACUUUUGUCUCUGGCUUCUGCUCGCAUCUUCUUCUCUAGAACCUCUCCAUCUUUUGUUAUUCCCUUCUUUAAGCUCUCAGUAUCGCAUCGCCGGAAAUUCUCAGUGAUGGCCAGUGGAAGCGACGAGUUGGUGAAAGGAAAUGUUUAUCCAAAUGGCGUUGCUUUCCUCACUCUUGUUUGACCUAAAGCUCUCAACGCCAUGAAUCUAGGUUCGUUUUUCACUUUUUCUUUAAUGAAUUAAACCCAAGUAAGUUCAAUCAUUGAAUAAACUAAUUUUAGAGAAAUGGAUCUGAAGAAAACUCCUCUGAUGCAAGAAAAUGAAACUUCUGUUUUAGUAUGGCUUCACAUGGUCAGAUAUGAAGCAGGUGAUGUGAAACAGAUUACAACCGAAAAUCAAUUGUCAGAUAUGAUAGAGGUCUGGUUGGCUCUUUUUUCCAUAAGUCAGGAUAUGAGACUUAUUGAAACAGAAGCAUAAAAAGACUAGACAUGCAACAGUAUUCAUCACUUCAGUGUUUUAGAAAAGCAAUACUUGCUAACGUCAUAACGUUGCUUUCUUUUGGGUAUUUACAGCUGAGUAUGGCCUGAUAUGCAAGAUUGCUGGAUACAAAAAAACCAUAUGUCUCUUUAAUGGAUGGCAUAACAAUGGGAUUGGUCUUUCUGGACAUAGGCGCUACCGAGUGAUAACAGAGGUGCUCAUAGUAAAUCCCUUGUUCUGUACUUUGUGCAGAUAACAUUUAGCAUGCAUUUCUUACCUUUGUCAUUGUUUUGUUAUCCAUUUUCAGAGGAUGGUCCUCGCAAUGCCAGAAAAUGGAAUUGGGUUGUUUCCAGAUGUUGGGUUUUCAUAUAUAGCAGCUCAUAGCCCUGGCAGAGGAUAUGUUGGUAUGUUCAUAUCCUAGAUUCCUAAUAGUAUCCUUAACUUUCCAUUUGGAUAUUCUAAAGAAUAAGAGUAAUUGGCCUAGGCCAGUUUUUUCUUCUCUAAGCAAACUUUACCAAACUUAUGAAAAACCAAUUUUCGCUAUAGUACCUCCCAAGUUUUGCUUAUAGUUAGAUUUGUUGUACAAGGAAGUAUGUUCUAUAUUGCUAACUGCUGAGACCCUAUACAAUUUGCAUAACAACCGCUGUAGUAUCAUUCUCCACCAGCAACUUUUCAACUUUCAAAUUCUGCAGGUGCUUACCUUGGUAUGACUGGGAGAAGGAUUUCCACACCUUCAGAUGCACUGUUUGUGGGUCUUGGGACACAUUAAAGACCUGUAGGCAUCUGCUUUUGCCUUAGAUAAAAUCAGCUUUUACUGCAAGUAAGUCUGUUCAAGAAACAAUCGAAGAGCUGAAGAAGUACCAGCUGAGCACUGAAGAUUCAGGUAUAAAUAUAUACAUUACUCUUUUAAGGUGGCUACUUAUAUAAUAACGUGUGUGUAUUUUGGUGAAAUCAAACAUGUUUUGACUUUCUGCAAGAUCUAGCUGACACCUUAAAUGGAUACAUGUUGUCUUAUUUGUUGUUUAAAAUAAUCAAAUUGAAAUCGGUAUCCUGCCUCUGAGAAAUUUGGACACAAUGUUUGUGUACAGUUGCAGAAUGGGCUAAUGAAGCACUCAAAGGCCUUGUAAAAGGAGCACCAUUUUCUCUGCAUCUAACGCAUAACUACUUCUCCAAAGUUGUUUGUGCCAAGGGUAAAACCGACAACGGGAUGGCAAUGGUGAGUCCAAACUCUUUGUUACCAGUUAAGCUACUAGUGAUACUUAAAUUUUCUUUCUACUUGAAGCUUAAUGGUGUGAUGAAAACUGAUAUGUGUCAAAUUACCCUUAGACUAGUCUCUUAAUUAGAGAUGUCACUAUAAUAUUUAUGGGUCAAAUUCCACAAAUCUCUUUAGUUCAUGUAAUAAACUUAUGACUGCUAAACAAGAAAUUUUGAAAAUUAAAGUUUGCAAUCAAGUAAAUCGGUAGUAAAUUCAAUGGAUUAAGGCGCUAGACUUAAAGAAAAUCUUUUCCGUAAAUCCACUCGACCAACAAGCUCGACUAGACGUCUAACAGGCUUAAACCGACUUAGUAUUUUGUCGUUUUGUGUUUUAGGGCUUUCUUGAUUUUCACCGGAGGAUACUCGACCACCACCACGAGAAGCUGAUACUCAACCGACACAACUCGACCUCAAUUCGAAGAGAAAAACUCAACCUCUUCUCAAAGUACUCGACCGACGAACUCGCUCCUCCUCCACCGUCAUACUCGACUAGCCGAAAAAAGAAAAAAACAACUACUCGACCUCAAGAGCAGACCACCACAAACCGGUCACAUACUCGACCAUGUUUUCUGGAUAAGGAGGAGCCACCAUCUCAAAAUUUGUUUACUCGACUUAAACCAAACAAAGACCACUCGACCACCGUCUCUCUAACUCACUCGACCUCAACUUCUACUUGACCAACAUCGGUUCAUUUCAAACAUUUCCGAUUUUGUAUUAUCUCUUGAAACUAACCUGUUAACUUUGAGUUAUACAUAUUCUCAGGAUCAACAUGAGCAACUACACUGGCGGUUCAUCAAUGGAUUCUGACUAUAACGUCGAUGAGGCUGAAUCUUGGUCUUCAAGACCAGAAAGAGAACAACAUAAAUACGAAAGUUUCAGGAGGAGAGCUGAGAUAGCUCGUGGGAAGAGAGCAAUGACAGAAAGAUAUGAGCUGGUAGAUGAGGAUUUAGAGGACGAGUAUAUGCCUGAGCAUUCUCGCAGAGCUACGAAGCUUCUGAACAAACCGAUGAACUACCAGUUGAAGAGUACAUCAGACUCUUCAACCUGAAUGAGUUCUGCGAAACAAGAUAUCCGUGCUCCGAGACACUGGCAAAGCUGGGGUUACUGGAAGAUGUUCAACAUCUGUUCCAGAGUUGUCACCUGGACACUCUGAUGAGUUACCCAUACGUCGCCUACGAGGAAGAAACAAUUAAGCUCUUCUCCACACUGCAAGUGGAGCUCUACCAAGGAAUGACUGCAGACGAGUUGGAAAGAGAAGGGUUGGGGUUCCUUACAUUUUCCGUGUAUGGACAAAGUUACAUGCUCACAAUCUAGCGCUUGGAAGGAUUGUUUGGUUUCCCCAGUGGAUCGGGAACCAAACCAACGUUUGACAGAGGCGAGUUGAAGGAUCUGUGGCUCACCAUUGGAAGCACUACAGCGCUUAACUCUUCAAGAUCCAAGAGCAAUCAGAUACGCAGCCCCAUCAUCAGAUACUUCUAGCGCUCAGUGGCUCAUGUCCUCUACUCCAGAGAGUCAACAGGGACGGUGACCAACUCUGAUAUGGAGAUGAUCUCUAUGGCUCUCAGAGGCACUCUCCAUCAAACCAAGAACGGUAUGACUCUGCACGGUGAUACCAGUGACACACCUCUCGCUAUACUUCUUUUGAUCCACCUGUGUGGAUACAAGAAGUGGGCUAUCACUAAUAACAACAAAAGAGCACGAGGCGCUCUCUGGAUAGGAGGUGUUGUGACACCGAUUCUGAUUGCCUGCGGAGUCCCAAUCACAUCUAAGGGAUAUGAACCAAGAGCAAUGGAUUUUGAGUACCUACGUCACUGCGAAUUCCUCGAGUAUGCAAUGGUUGGUGACAAGUAUCGAUACCGGUUUGAGCAUCCCACAGACAAGACGGCCAACAUCCUUCUCCCCUGCCCCGAGCUUACACGUAUCAUAGAGGGAGACAACAUUGACUUUGUGCCUGCAAUCGACAACCUGUAUGUCGAGAAAGCUCACCCGAUGAAUGAGGAUGUUCAUGCAGAAGAAGCUGCAGAAGAUGAGAUUGAUGAGAUGGAUGAGGACAAGGAAGAGGAGUAUGAUACAAGUAUGUAUCAUUUUAGUGAGCAUGUAGCUCCAGCGAGGGAGAGUAAGAGUUUGAGUGAAGCUUACAGAAACCCAAGCCUGUUGUAGAAGUGGUGCAAGAAGCAGGAUAAGUUCAUCUCGAAAUGCAUAACGAGUAUCAAGUCUUUGAAGGCUAUGGUUAGCUGCUCCUCUUCCAGCACAGCAAUACCGCAUGGAGACGAACUUACCCUGCUUCUAGCUAGAAAAAGGAGGUUCUGCAAGAUGAGGAGAAGCUAACCAUUGCCUUCAACGAAUUUAUACUAUUUAUCCAUUUGGAGAUGAACUUAUCCUGCUUCUUGCACCACUUCUGCAACAGGCUUUGGUUUCUGUGAGCUUUACUCAAGCUCUUACUCUCCCUCGCUGGAGCUACAUGCUCACUAAAAUGAUACAUACUUGUAUCAUACUCCUCUUCCUUGUCUUCAUCAAUCUCAUCAAUCUCAUCUUCUGCAGCUUCUUCUGCAUGAACAUCCUCAUUCAUUGGCUGAGCUUUCUUGACAUACAGGUCGUCGAUUGCAGACACAAAGUCGAUGUUGUCUCCCUCUAUGAUACGUGUAAGCUCGGGGCAGGGGAGAAGGAUGUUGGCCGUCUUGUCUGUGGGAUGCUCAAACCGGUAUCGAUACUUGUCACCAACCAUUGCAUACUCGAGGAAUUCGCAGUGUCGUAGGUGCUCAAAAUCCAUCGCUCUUGGUUUAUAUCCCUUAGAUGUGAUUGGGACUCCGCAGGUAAUCAGAAUCGGUGUCAUAACACCUACUAUGCAGAGAGCGCCUCGUGCUAUUUUGUUAUUAUUAGUGAUGGCCCACUUCUUGUAUCCACACAUGUGGAUCAAAAGAAGUAUAACGAGAGGUGUGUCACUGGUAUCACCGUGCAGAGUCAUACCGUUCUUGGUUUGAUGGAGAGUGCCUCUGAGAGCCAUAGAGAUCAUCUCCAUAUCAGAGUUGGUCACCGUCCAUGUUGACUCUCUUGAGUAGAGGACAUGAACCACUGAGCCCUGGAAAUAUCUGAUGACGGGGCUGUGUAUCUGGUUGCUCUUGGAUCUUGAAGAGUUAAGCGCUGCAGUGCUUCCAAUGGUGAGCCACAGAUCCUUCAACUCGCAUCUGUCAAACUUUGGUUUGGUUCCCGUUCCACUAGGGAAACCAAACAAUCCUUCCAAGCGCUGGAUUGUCAGCAUGUAACUAUGUCCAUACACGAAGAAUGUAAGGAACCCCAACCCUUCUCUUUCCAACUCGUCUAUAGUCAUCCCUUGGUCGAGCUCCACUUGCAGUGUGGAGAGGAGCUUAAUUGUUUCUUCCUCGUAGGUGACGUAUGGGUAACUCAUCAGAGUGUUCAGGUGACAACUCUGGAACAAAUGUUGAACAUCUUCUAGUAACCCCAGCUUUGCCAGUGUCUCGGAGCACGGAUAUCUUGUUCCGCAGAACUCAUUCAGGUUGAAGAGUCUGAUGUACUCUUCAACUGGUAGUUCAUCGGUUUGUUCAGAAGCUUCGUAGCUCUGCGAGAAUGCUCAGGCAUAUACUCGUCCUCUAAAUCCUCAUCUACCAGCUCAUAUCUUUCUGUCAUUGCUCUCUUCCCACGAGCUAUCUCAGCUCUCCUCCUGAAACUUUCGUAUUUAUGUUGUUCUCUUUCUGGUCUUGAAGACCAAGAUUCAGCCUCAUCGACGUUAUAGUCAGAAUCCAUUGAUGAACCGCCAGUGUAGUUGCUCAUGUUG
rnacentral:lncRNA from 1 species